UCGUGCGUCAGAAAAAACCUCAACAAGCUCAUCUGCCCCUCCCAUGGUGGUGACUCCUGCCGGCCGACAAGUUAUCUUUAUUGCGGAAAUUUCAUCACCAACUUCUGUAAGUCAUACUUCAAGCUGAUCAUUUGAGAGUAUGCUUAUUAAUUUUCUGGUUGUCUAGAUUUGGCUAAAUAAAAAAACAAAUUACAUUUAUUCAUGAGUAAUUUAACACGUACUAUGUAUAUGAUAUUUUCCGACAGAUGGAACUAUGUUGAGGCAGAAAUGGCAAUAUCAAAUGAAUUGCAAGAGUUUUGUGUGCUUCAAUUCUCAAGCUGCAAACAAAAGAAAUGCACAAAGGACAACAAUGAUUUUGAAUGUCCAAAAUGCAAUCGGAAAACAACAUUAGUGUCUCGGUACUAUACUUUUGAGUUAUAAAUUAGAGUUUGUGCAAAAUAUAGCAUAUAUUAUACACAAAUAUUAAACUUGCCAUGAUUUCAGGUGUAUCUUUCAAAUUGAUCUUAUUGAUGGUACUGCUACAACCACAACAUCUAUCUCUGGUGAAUUGGGUGAAAAACUACUCUUCAUGACAACAGAAGACAUAUUUGACAUAACUUGUGCUAAGGCGAUCUCUCAUUCCCGCUAGCACCUCUACACAUCUAUUGUCGAACAAACUACUUCUAUGCUUAUUCCUAAAGAGUUUCUCGUGACUCUUUACAGGGAUAAAAUGAGGCAGGAGCUCGUAGUGCUGAAGAAUCGGAUGGAUGAUUUAGAAGCACAUGUGAACAGUCAACUACAGGCUGUUCACAUGUCAACUACAGUCUGAAGAAGAAGAUAGUGAGUCUGGGACAAUCAGGAGUCUGAUGAUGAGUCCCGAGCAUCUACAGAUUCACCUCAACCAUAAGAGGGUGAGGGUGAGGUGGAGGAAAAUGAGGUCCGGGAGGAUGAUGCUGAUUGUAUAUCAGGGGUAUUAAUGGUGUAAUAUGUUCACCAGUAAAAGUUAGACCUACUAGUAUGGCAACAGACUACUGAGUUCUUUUACCAGAUGUGGAUCGUGCCUCGAUUAGAGGGGUUCUUCUAGGAUGGUAUAUUAUUUAAGGCAGGUGGUUUUGCAGGGCUACCUAUUAUCCUCGAGUCCAAAGUAGUAGAGGCAGAUAUUCAAGCAUUCCCAGGAAUUCACAGGCUUUUCAAAUCUCACCAGUUUGAAUGGAUGAACAACAUGCUAGGUGAGUAUGCACGCCACCUAACUAGAGAGGCUUACGCCUCAUAUGCAACGAACCUGAUGAAUUUUCUGCCGACACUGAACAAAAAAAGAAAAGGCAGAAAGAUGGUGCAGCUACAUAGGGAACCCUAGAAGUUGUGAGUGUGCAGGGGCAAUCCAUUGAUAUAUCUGAAACCAAAGUAAAUAGGAUGCUACAUGGCCCAGAGUAUAGAACACAUGUGUCAGUGGGGUUAUUUGAAGGUCGGCACCAGACAGUGACUAGUGAGACCGAGAUGGAUAAUCCUAGCUCGCGGGAAUGUUUCAUGCGAUGGAUUUUUGGCCAGAUUGCGAUAGAGGGAGAGACUGCAUCAUGGGUAGCCAAUGCAGAGGUGCAAAUUACGAAGGCAUCCCUUUUAUUUCCUUCCAAGGUCUGGUGGGCAUUUUUCCGUGCACAGUUGCUAGCCACUGCUAAUGAUAACACUUUAUCACCGUCAUUUGCCUCCUUGGUAGCCUGCCUCAUUGUUGUUUACCCAUUGAAUGUGGUUCGGAUAAUUGCCACAAUAAUGCGAGACAAAACACUGAAUGAGAGAGAAGGUUUGUCGUUUCCCUGUAUAAUAGGGAAACUCUAUUUGCAGGCAAAUAUGCCACCACAUAAAUUAGUGGACAAAUGGAUAGAAGCCUCCAAGGUUACCGUAACAUCAAAUAUAAAAUAUUUUUCGAACCAUCUAGGCCAAACCAAUAGGACCAGUGGUAGUUGUUCCACAUGUUCCAAUUUGAGAUACCGAGAACUGAGGGAGGAAGUGAGCUUGGUGAUUCUUCACAGCCAGCUGUAGGAACACCACCACCACCAGCCUCAUCUUCACAGGCUACAGGUACCUUCGUGUCUAUACCCACUUUAAUUUUGGAGCGGUUGGUUGCAGAUUAGAGUCCGACUCGGUCCAUAGUCGACCAAAUAGUGCUCAAACUACCUCAGGUAGUUUAGAGAGAUUUGUUGGUUGCACAAAAGCCAUUGAGGGAUAAAAUGAGGCAGGAGCUCGUAGUGCUGAAGAAUCGGAUGGAUGAUUUAGAAGCACAUGUGAACAGUCAACUACAGGCUUUUCACAUGUCAACUACAGUCUGAAGAAGAAGAUAGUGAGUCUGGGACAGUCAGGAGUCUGAUGAUGAGUCCCGAGCAUCUACGGAUUCACCUCAACCAUAAGAGGGUGAGGGGGAGGAAAAUGAGGUCCGGCAGGAUGAUGUUGAUUGUAUAUCAGGGGUAUCGAUGGUGAAAUGUGUUCACCAGUAAAAAUUAGACCUACUAGUGUGGCAACAGACUACUGAGUUCUUUUACCAGAUGUGGACCGUGCCUCGAUUAGAGGGGUUCUUCUAGGAUGGUAUAUUAUUUAAGGCAGGUGGUUUUGCAGGACGACCUAUUAUCCUCGAGUCCAAAGUAGUAGAGGCAGAUAUUCAAGCAUUCCCGGAAAUUCACAGUCUUUUCAAAUCUCACCAGUUUGAAUGGAUGAACAACAUGCUAGGUGAGUAUGCACGCCACCUAACUAGAGAGGCUUACGCCUCAUAUGCAACGAACCUGAUGAAUUUUGCUGCCGACACUUAACAAAAAAAGAAAAGGCAGAAAGAUGGUGCAGCUACAUAGGGAACCCUAGCAGUUGUGAGUGUGCAGGGGCAAUCCAUUGAUAUAUCUGAAACCAGAGUAAAUAGGAUGCUACAUGGCCCAGAGUAUAGAACACAUGUGUCAGUGGGGUUAUUUGAAGUUCGGCACCAGACAGUGACUAGUGAGACCGAGAUGGAUGAUCCUAGCUCGCGGGAAUUUGUCAUGCGAUGGAUUUUUGGCCAGAUUGCGAUAGAGGGAGAGACUGCAUCAUGGGUAGCCAAUGCAGAGGUGCAAAUUACGAAGGCAUCACUUUUAUUUCCUUCCAAGGUCUGGUGGGCAUUUUUCCGUGCACAGUUGCUGGCCACUGCUAAUGAUAACACUCUAUCACCGUCAUUUGCCUCCUUGGUAGCCUGCCUCAUUGUUGUUUACCUAUUGAAUGUGGUUCGGAUAAUUGCCACAAAAAUGCGAGACAAAACACUGAAUGAGAGAGAAGGUUUGUCGUUUCCCUGUCUAAUAGGGAAACUCUAUUUGCAGGCAAAUAUGCCACCACAUAAAUUAGUGGACAAAUGGAUAGAAGCCUCCAAGGUUACCAUAACAUCAAAUAUAAAAUAUUUUUCGAACCAUCUAGGCCAAACUAGUAGGACCAGUGGUAGUAGUUCCACAUGUUCCAAUUUGAGAUACCGAGAGCUGAGGGAGGUAGUGAGCAUGGUGAAUUUUCACAGCCAGCUGUAGGAACAGCACCACCACCAGCCUUAUCUUCACAGGCUACAUGUACCUUCGUGUCUAAACCAACUUUAAUUUUGGAGCGGUUGGUUGCAGAGUAGAGUCAGACUCGGUCCAUAGUUUACCAAAUAGUGCUCAAACUACCUCAGGUUGUUUAGAGAGAUGUGUUGGUUGCACAAAAGCCAUUGAGGGAUAAAAUGAGGCAGGAGCUCGUAGUGCUGAAGAAUCGGAUGGAUGAUUUAGAAGCACAUGUGAACAGUCAACUACAGGCUGUUCACAUGUCAACUACAGUCUGAAGAAGAAGAUAGUGAGUCUGGGACAGUCAGGAGUCUGAUGAUGAGUCCCGAGCAUCUACGGAUUCACCAUAACCAUAAGAGGGUGAGGGGGAGGAAAAUGAGGUCCGGGAGGAUGAUGCUGAUUGUAUAUCAGGGGUAUCGAUGGUGUAAUAUGUUCACCAGUAAAAAUUAGACCUACUAGUGUGGCAACAGACUACUGAGUUCUUUUACCAGAUGUGGACCGUGCCUCGAUUAGAGGGGUUCUUCUAGGAUGGUAUAUUAUUUAAGGCAGGUGGUUUUACAGGGCGACCUAUUAUCCUCGAGUCCAAAGUAGUAGAGGCAGAUAUUCAAGCAUUCCCGGAAAUUCACAGGCUUUUUAAAUCUCACCAGUUUGAAUGGAUGAAUAACAUGCUAGGUGAGUAUGCAUGCCACCUAACUAGAGAGGCUUAUGCCUCAUAUGCAACGAACCUGAUGAAUUUUGCUGCCGACACUGAACAAAAAAAGAAAAGGCAGAAAGAUGGUGCAGCUACAUAGGGAACCCUAGAAGUUUUGAGUGUGCAGGGGCAAUCCAUUGAUAUAUCUGAAACCAGUGUAAAUAGGAUGCUACAUGGCCUAGAGUAUAGAACACAUGUGUCAGUUGGGUUAUUUGAAGGUCGGCACCAGACAGUGACUAGUGAGACCGAGAUGGAUGAUCCUAGCUCGCGGGAAUGUUUCAUGCGAUGGAUUUUUGGCCAAAUUGCGAUAGAGGGAGAGACUGCAUCAUGGGUAGCCAAUGCAGAGGUGCAAAUUACGAAGGCAUCACUUUUAUUUCCUUCCAAGGUCUGGUGGGUAGUUUUCCGUGCACAGUUGCUUGCCACCGCUAAUGAUAACACUCUAUCACCGUCACUUGCCUCCUUGGUAGCCUGUCUCAUUGUUGGUUACCCAUUGAAUGUGGUUCGGAUAAUCGCCACAAAAAUGUGAGACAAAGCACUGAAUGAGAGAGAAGGUUUGUCGUUUCCGUGUCUAAUAGGGAAACUCUAUUUGCAGGCAAAUAUGCCACCACAUAAAUUAGUGGACAAAUGGAUAGAAGCCUCCAAGGUUACCGCAACAUCAAAUAUAAAAUAUUCUUCGAACCAUCUAGGCCAAACCAGUAGGACCAGUGGCAGUAGUUUCACAUGUUCCAAUUUGAGAUACCGAGAGCUGAGGGAGGUAGUGAGCAUGGUGAAUCUUCAUAGCCAGCUACAGGAACACCACCGGCACCACCCUCAUCUUCACAGGUUACAGGUACCUUCGUGUCUAUACCCACUUUAAUUUUGGAGCGGUUGGUUGCAGAGUAGAGUCAGACUCGGUCCAUAGUCGACCAAAUAGUGCUCAAAUUAUGUCUUGUAGUUUAGAGAUAUGUGUUGGUUGCACAAAAGCGACUGAGGUAUAAAAUGAGGCAGGAGCUCGUAGUGCUGAAGAACUGGAUGGAUGAUUUAGACGCACAUGUGAACAGUCAACUAAAGGUUGUGGGUUCUAUAGAUAUUUUAAUGUUGAAGGAACAAAUGGCUGAGAUGAGAGCCGACAUUGAUAAAUUGCCUAAGAAGCCAGCCACUGUUUCCCCUCUAGUUGUGCAAGACUCUUUGAUGAGAUUAUUUAGUAUGUCCCCCACAACUCAAUUAGUUGAUAAUCUUUGGGGUUACUUGGUGUCACGACCCAGGGGUACCCCUAGAUAUAACAUGGCAUACAAGACCCUGAGAGGCCUCAUAUAAGCCAUUUAGCUUUCAUAACAUAAGAUAAUAUAAAUGAGCGGAAAUUUAAAACUGUUUCAACAAUAUCAAAGUCUUUUAUAAACGAAGCGGAAGUCUAAUACACUGUAACACUCCAGAAACUAAUAAGCUUAACUAGAGUUAGAUGUAAAGGUUAGAGUCGUAAAAUUCACUUCUCGAACUUAGAAUGAAGGGUUUAGGGGUUAAACGUCAACGUACGAACCCAGAGGACCAACUAAGGGUCCUUGAGGAGGACCCAAAAACCACCCUAAAAUCUGCCCAAAACAAUGACCGAUGGAGGGACCUACACCCCGUAUGGUGGUCCACGCUCUGUGGGAGGAGGUUCAUGGGUCAAAGGGGGUAACACCCCGAAAACUAGCAAGUUGAACUAGUGAGUUCUAGAGCCUUUCGUAAGAGUUUUGGAGUGUUGUAUGAGGAUUACAAUUCGUAAAAGCGAUUCCCGUACAUAGAAUGAGGGUUUUAGGGGUUAAACGUCCGGGUACGACCCCCAAGGACCACCCAAGGGGUCCUUGAGGAUGACCUCAAAACAGCCCAAAAAGCUGUCAAAGAAAUGUCACCUACGUUUGGCCACCUACUGGCCGUAGGUGGACCCACACACCAUAGGUGGGGGUCAUGGGUCAAGGACUGUUAAGGCCUGCAAGAUGAACCCCUAAAAUCCACCUACGAGUUAACAGCACGGGCAGUAGACCCAUCCGCGGUCUGUGGAUGGGUGGGCGUCGGUCAACAUAGUUUUUGGACUUUUAGUUUUAAGUUAAUGGUUUAGGGGUUAAGUUAGUAAUUAGUUAAGGCAUAGGGAGGUCGGUUGAUUAGUUAAAUAACCACUUAUAAAUACCUAAUAAGACCCUAAACUAAUUCAUUUGACUCAUUCAUCUAAGACCCCAAAAUACUAUCCAAAAAUCCUCUCUCUAGAAGUGAAGAAGAAGAAGAAGAGAAUGCAAGAGGGAAAAAACUAGGAUCGAAAUUUACCAUUGAAGAAAGGUUUUUUUAAGACUUUGAGUUGAGGUAUCUUUAUAUUAUUCAUGUAUGGGUUCUUCCACCCAUAGAACCCCCAUAGUUUCCCCCAAUUGUGAAGUCAAAAAUCCAAUUCUAGUUAGGGUUGUGCUUGUGGGUAGGUUUGGGUAUGAUUCCAAUCUAGUGGAUAAUACCUAAUUAUGAUUGUAUUAGCAUGUAAUUGUGAUAUUAUGAUGAAUUCAUGUGAUUUAUAUGGUAAAACCUAACCUAAAUUGUUGAAUGUGAUAAUUGUGGGUUUAUGCCAUUAGAGGCAAAAUUGAAGGUUCAAAGGUGAUCUUCCUAAAUCAAAAUCAUGUAUAGUAAUUGAUCAAAGAUAGGAUCAUAUAAUCAUGAAUUGAACUAUACUUUAUUGAAUAUGAAGAAUCUUGACUUGUAAAGAUGAUAUUGAACAUCUAUGAUGAAUUAUGACUAGAAUCACUUAGUAGUAAAGAAUGUGAUUGAAUAGCUUGUUAUUUAGACAUGAAUGAAGUUAAGCUUGAAAGUAGGGCUUGUAGCCAUCAAGGUUAGUGCUUUGGGGGUAAAGCCAAUAUUAUGUGAUUGUGUUGUGUAUGCUUCUCUCUUACACACUUAGGCAUGAAUUUUCUAGGCGAUCCAAAGGUUCCCCCACAUAGACGGAUUCUAAGUUAUCUUAAUAACCUAAAAUGGAUCAAAGCAUGUUAUACUAGAAUAGCUUGAAGUUGUGAUGUAUGAUCCCUUCAUGUAUAGCUUGGCUUAGUAGUAUAACACUAAGGUUGUUAACUUAGGAUGGAGGAUAUAUACUCUCCUAAGGUAUAGCUUGACUUGGCAUUGUAUAAUGCAUUACAUGGUAGCAUGAGUUAGGAGUAGUCAUGGUAGCCUAGGAUUAAGGAUUUAUACUCUCCUAUGGGUAGCUUGAACUAGCAUUGUUAGGAUGCCUUCAUGGUAGCAUGACUUAGUUUCGCUAAGACCAUUUCAUGGUAGCUUUAGGAUUGAGGACUUAUACUCUCCUAUGGGUAGCUUGACUUUUCAUUGUAAGAUGCAUUUCAAGGUUAGCUUGAGUUAGGUUAGUCAUGGUAGUUUGGGAUUGAGGACUCAUACUCUCCUAAGGAUAGCUUAGGAUUGAGAAUCAUACUCUCCUAAGGAUAGCUUGCAUUUGCAUCAUAAUAUACUUGUAAGGGUAGCAUGACUUAGUUUGUCUAGGACUAUUUCAUUGUAGCUAGGAUAGGACACUUGUACCUUUCGUAAAAUAGCUUGGACUUCCAUGAUAGUGUGUCUUCCAAGGUAGUUAGCUUAGUUCAACCUAGUUAUGUUAGUAAUAUGAUAGCAUGGUCUAGCCUAUUAGGGGGUUAUUCCUUGGUAGCCUUGAAUAGAGGGAAAUAGAAUAGAGGGACUACUCCCCAACUAAUGAACAUUCAUGGUAGUCUAAAGGAGUACUUAUUGUGGGUAGUAGUAUGGGAUGCUAUCCAUACAUUGCACAAGUAUGAAUUAAGGCUAGGUAUGAAGGGUUCCCACACAUAGUAAGACUUAGCUUGGGUUGUUUCUAUAGUUUCCUUCAAAGAUAUGAUUGAAUAAAGAUGAUAGUUCCUUUGUCUAUAUGUAGUAAGCCAAUAGUAAGACCAAAGGAGGGUGAAUAUGACUAGGAUGACUUCAAGAUUAUACUUAGUGUGAAUGGUAGUAUUGGAUGCCUUUCAUGCAUCGCACAAGUGUGCUUUGAGGUCACUUAGGAGUAUGGCACCCUUAUAGUAUAAAGGUUUAAGACUUAACCAUGCCUACAGACUAUGAUUAAGAUCCCUAAAAAGGAAUACUUGGCUUGGGUGGUAUUAUGGGAUGCUAUUCUUGCUUUGCACAUGUAUACUUUUGAGGUUACUUCAGAAUGGUGUUAUUAUGGUAAAGAUGACCAAGAGUCAAUUAUGCUUAUUGUGAUUAUGACUUAUCUCCUAUGUUCAUUAACAAUGUCUUAUGUGGACUUAUGUUUAUAUGAUGCUUAUGUUGGAGACCACGCUAUGACUAUGAUGAUUAUGCUAUGAACAUGUUAUUAUCUCUUAUGCUUAUGUCUUAUGUUGACUAACCAUUUCGAUAUACUCUUAUGAAGUUGUGAUAGAUUUCAUACUUGGUACAUUUUGUACUAACGCAUAUUGCCUACAUUCUAAUUUAAUGUAGAGUUUCAUCGACUAAGUUGACUUGGAGGCUAGGUUUCUAAGGUGCAAGAAGAGUUGAAGAAUUGGUGAGUCCUCAUAGCUUCAACGACAAACCCAUCUAUCCUUUAUGUCAUUUAUUUAUGUUUUAGACUUUGUAUGGGCUGCUGCAUCCUAAGAGUCUCAUUCAAGAAUUAUGUUAGAUGGUUUGAGACAAAGGAUUAGUAAAGACUUCCACUUAUGAAAUAUGACUUCGAUUGUAAAAGUUUUAAAUUUUCCCGUAGUUUUUUUCUAUUACCUAUGUUAUGAUGCUAAGGGCUUGUAUGAGACCCCUUCGGGGUCAAGUACGCCAUGCUACGUCUAGGGUGUACCCCUGGGUCGUAACAAACUUGGUAAUAACAUCACAAGGUUUAGAAUGGUCCUAGGAUUGUCUCAAACCACGUCUAGUAGAGUCUUGUUCAUAAAUGUGAAGCGCGUCACUUUUAUGAAUAUGAGGCUAUUGGAUGCUUAGGAAAUCUUACUUCUUCAUUCUCUUAGUCAUGCCAAAGAAGUUUAUCUCUAGUAGGUCCUUCUCCUAAUGUUUUCCCUAUUGGUUUUUUCAGGUUAUGAAAAAUACUAGGGCUAAUGCUAGGAGGGAUGAGGAAGACAGUGGAGAGCAAGAGGUUCCUCUCCAAGUUCCACCCCAAGCUCCACCCCAAGCUCCUCCUCAAGCUCCAAAUGACCCUCCAAUUCAGAAUGCCACUCUAGCAGAAUUUAGGGUUCUAUGCUAUUCUUGGUGUAAUGACCCAUAAAAUGAAUAGGUGAAACUAGAGCCUAACGACUUUGUGUUUGAGUUGUUGUGAGGUUUGAGGGUGUAAAAUGUUGUCCCGAGAUAUGGUUGAGGGGUUAAGGGGUUAAACGUCAAGGUACGACUCCCCAAGGACCACCCUAGGGAUCCUUGAGGAGGACCCUAAAAUCUAACCCCCAAGACCCAAAAGAAACAAAACCUACCCAAAAUUGUUAUGACCUACGGAAAGCGACCUACGCCCCGUAGGUCCAUCCACGCCCCAUGGAUGGCCUCCGUAGGUCAAUUACCCAAAAUGUGAGUUGCAGCCAUGGACCACGAGAUGACAGCACGGUCCGUAGACCCACCCAUGGUCCGUAGGUGGCGUCUCGUGAGUGACCACUGUGUUGCUGUCCAAAGUCGGCCUAGUGGUGGGGUAGUUUAGUAAAUUCAUUUUAAGUGUAGUUUAGUUGGGGGAAGGUUUUAAUUGGUUAUUUAAAGUAUUUUAAGGGUUUUUAAAGUAUUAAACUUUAUUCUUUACUCAUUAUUUCAAAACACCCGAAAGAUAGAAACCUCCCCUCCAAAAGUUCUCUCUCUAGAAACCUCCAUUGGAGGUGAAGGAUUCAAGCUUCCAAGGUCAAGACUUCACGUUUUUCAAGGGAUUUUCGUGGAGUUAUUCCAUAGAAGGUAUGGUAGUCUUCAUCCUUGAAUUAGUUUCUUUCAAGGAACCAAUUUCAAAGUUGAUUUCAAGUCUCCAAUGUUUCCCCAAAAACCCUACUUUUCAAUCUUGGCGUGGGUUCGAUUCUAAACGAUUUUCAAAGGCUUUAUUACAUUGAAGUAUGACUGAAUUGUGGAUUUAAAGAUGAAAAUACGAUGAUUUCUUCCUUGAACCCAUGAUUUCCCCCAAAUUCUUAAGUUGUGAAUUAAGAUUGGGAAUUGGUUGAUCAUACAAUAUGUUGAAUUGUUGAUGUUCAUGUUGAAUUAGUUAUUAAACCAUGUCAAUUUACUUAUCUAUUGUAGUAUCUUGGAUAUAUUGGUUGAUGUUGGUUCUUAGCCUUGGAAGGCAAUUUUAUGAGGGAUCUAUGUAUGAUUAUGAUGUGAAGUAUAUGUGUGUGAUCUCAAUGAAUGCAUUAUGAUCAUGUUUAGAUUGGAAUAGUGUUAGUAUUGCAAGCUUAUGAAUGAUGAUGAUAUAUGUGAAAGGUUAUUCUAACAUACACACACACUUGAAUGAAGAAUGAAUUGCAUUUUCUAUGAUUAUGUUAAUGAGGAUGGGCUGAUUGAAAGGCUAUUUUCAAUUGUACUCUAAUGAAUGAUAAUGAGAUGUUGUGAAAGGACUUUCUCACAAUAUGGGGAUUCUUAGGUGAAAGGCUAUUCUCAUCCUUGAAUCUAUGAGCUAUCUAUUGAAUGAAUGUUAGGUUUGGGAUGUAUACUCAUCCAUGAUAUAAGGCGGAGUAUCUAGUAACAAUCUCUUAUCCCAUAAUAAUGAACUAAUGUAAUGAAUGUUAAAUAUUCCGUGGGGAAUAAUGCUAAGCACCGAGAGGAUAUGGCUUGAGAUGGGUGCUCAUCUGUGAGUUAAGGCGGGGUAUCUAAUAGCAAUCUCUUGAGAUGGGUGCUCAUCCGUGAGUUGAGGUGGGGUAUCUAGUAGCAAUCUCCCUUUCCCUUAAACUAUGUGCCCACAUAGGUCUAGCUAGUGGAUCCACCAAAGCUAAAAACAAUGGUCCUACCUUAGGCAAGUAGGAAUCCCUUAUCUGGUGAGGGUGACACCGGGAUUCCAUGAAAUUCUCACAUGGUCUAUGUAGGUUAAAGCUUAUCCCCAAAAAGAAUGUUAAUGAACUAUGGCUUCUCAAGAAUGCACUACUUAGUGUGGGUAGUAUGGGAUGCCAUCCAUGCAUUGCACAAGUAGGCUUUUGAGAGGGGUUGUGGUGUGUUCCUUUAUAAUGUUAAGUGUAAUGAAUGUGCUCUUAUGAUGAUUUUAAUGAGAUUGUUGUCUUAAUGUGUAAUGAAUGAAGGUGUUCUUAAUGAAGCUAAAGAAGAUUGUUGAUUUAUGAAUUUAAUGUAAUGAUGCAUGCUAUACUUGGAUUGUAUUAUGAGUUAGUUCCUUGUCAUGACUUAAUGAAUAUGAAUGUGCCUUGUCUACCCUGGAUUCAAAGGACUACUAAGUGUGAGUAGUAGUAUGGGAUGCUACUCAUACAUUGCACAAGUAUGACUUAGAGUUGCCCCUAGGUGAUGGUCCUAAUGUGUUGAUAUGACUUAUGGAAUAUUUAUGUCUCUUAUGUAUGAGUAUUUUGUAAUGAUGGAAAGGAUGAAUGGUAAGUUCACUUUUGGUGGCCUUAAGUAGUAUCUAGUAUGGAUGGUGGUAUGGGACGCUAUUCAUACAUUGCACAAGGUAUGGCUUGGGGUUACUUGAGAUGAAAGCUUAAGGUAAUGAAAUGUCUUAUACGUUGAUUAUGUUCUAUUGUGGUUAAAUGACUUGUAUGUUGGUUUUGUGUGUAUAUUAUGCCUCUUAUACUUAUAUUCAUGGAGUUUUUUUAAAAUGACAUAUAUCAUGAAUUUCAAAUAAAAUGUCCGUUUUAAGUAUGGUUUUUGCAUGGCUGUCAUAAUUAGUACUUAAUUGUGCUAAUCCAUAUUUUCUUUACCUUUAUGAAGUGUAGGGAUUGGUACUUGGUUUGUCUCUCUCUAGUUCAAGGGCUUGGAUCGAGAUUCCUCCAUGGCUAAGUGGUAUGUCCUCAUAGAUCGAGGACAAGUGUUUAGAUGUUUCUUUUCUUUCAUGUAAUAGACAAUUAUUAGUCUUUCGAUGGUAAAGGGUCGUGUCCCUAGUUUAGUUUUCAAGAUGUUGUUUUAGAUUGCCAUGUGAGACAAUAGACUUCCGCUACUUUUGAAUGUUUUAAAUGAGUAUUUUGAUUGUAUGGUUUUAAAAAAAGUUUUAAUUCCGUACCAUUUUCCUUAUAUCGAAUGUUAUGAAUGCUAUGAGGCUUGUAUGAAACUUUUUGGAAUCUUGUAUGCCUUGUCACUUUCGGGGUAUAGACUCGAGUCGUGACAAACAUGGUAUCAGAGCAUAAGGUUAUGGGAAUGUUUUUUAGGAUUGAUGUCCCACAAGCCACACCUAGUAGAGUCUUGUUCUUCGGUGUGAGUCGUGACACAUCUAUGAGCGAGAGGCUAUAGGACGGUAGGAAGUUACAUUUCUUUCAUUACUCUUGAAGUUGUGCCUUAGAGUUUAGCUCUUUAAGUAUCCUUUUUCCUAAUCCUUCUCUUGUGUUUAUAGGAUAUGAAUACAAGAAGGACGCCCGCAAGAAGAGUGGAAGAGGAGAUUGUGAAUGAAGGAGUUCCUCCCCAAGGUCCUCAUGGCAAUCAAGUUCAGGUUGAUGCUCCAGCCAUGACCAAUGAAGAGAUUAGGUCGGCUUUUCUAACCUUAGCCCAAGCCAUGACGGCCCAAGUUAAUAGAGGUGUGGGGCCUAGAGUGAAUUCUAUUGAGAGUACUAUGGCUUCUAGGUUAAGGGAUUUUUCUAGGAUGAAUCCCCCUCCCCCCCCCCCCCCGAGUUUCCAGGUUCCAAAGUGGAAGAAGAUCCUUAAAGGUUUGUUGAUGAGGUUUGAAAAAUACUUAGUGCCAUGGAGGUGUCUUCGGAGAAGAAGGCAAAAUUAUCUGCCUAUCAAUUAAAAGAUGUAGCUCAAAUUUGGUAUGAGCAAUGGAAGGGUGAGAGGCCAACAGGAGCAGGUCACAUAAAUUGGGAGGUGUUCAAAGAAGCUUUCCUUGAUAGGUUUUUCCCCCUAGAAUUGAGGGAACAAAAGUUGGUAGAAUUCAUGAACCUUUGUCUAGGGGGUAUGAGUGUGAAGGAGUAUUCUCUUAAGUUCACCCAACUAUAUAUCCAAAUAUGCUCCAACCUUAGGGGCAAAUUCGAGGGCUAGAAUGAAUAAGUUUGUGAUGGGGGUGUCCGGUUUGGUUGAAGAAGAAUGUCGUACGACAAUUCUCCAUCAUGACAUGGAUAUUUCAAGGCUCAUGGUAUAUACUCAACAAAUUGAGGAGAUGAAACUUAAGAAAAUGAAUUAGGAGGCAAAAAGAUUUAGGCCCGAUGAACGAAGUCAACCAAGGUUCAAAAAGAGGUUCUACAACCAAGAUUCCCCUAUGGUCAACUAUGAUAGGGUGUCUAACCCUAAAUCUCAAGGAGAGAAUGGAAGUGGUUCUUCUGUUGAAAGAUCAAUUUGUGCCAAGUGUGGGAAGCAACAUUUAGGUAAGUGCCUUGCUGGCACGGAUGGGUGCUUUGGGUGUGGAAAGAAGGGUCAUAAGAUGAGAUAUUUCCCAACACUCACGGCAAAAGAAAGAGAGACCAAACAAGCCUCUCUUGAUGGCCCAAAUCCUAAUGCUCCAUUUCUAGGUGCUUCAAGUUAACAAGGACAAAGGAGUUAAUCCGGAUAAAGGCACCGGUAAGUGAUAGUUCCUUAUAGAUUGUGAAUGUUACAUUGAGGUUCCUAUGUUGUGUUCAUGUUAACCUUAGUUGGUUUUACUCCUAAGUGGGGGAUAGUAUGUUGAAUAGUAAGGUUGUGGAGAGUUUUGAUAUCCUUGUCUCUUUCCUUCUAUUCCUAUUCAAGCUUGAGACCAAGAGUUCCUUGUAGCUUGUUUCAUGAUUUGGAGUCAUGUGUGAAUAUGUGUUUCCAUGGUCUCCUUAUGUUAUGCAUAUUCUUAAUGAGUUUAUGUUUAAAUGAGAAAAUGUGUUUUUAUGAAUUAUGUUCCUCAUGUUGAUAUCCAUUUAGUAUGAGUUGUCUAUAUGCUUCAUGAGGUUAAUUGUUGAACAUGCCUAAAUAUGCUUUUAUGAAGAAAUUGUAUAAUGUGCUUAAUUAUGUUAUGGUGAGCAUGAUUUGAGUUGGAGAAGUUAAUUCCUCCAAUGAAAUGAGAAAUGUUGAAGUUAUGAUGCAUAAUGAGUUUGUAGAUGUAGUUCCUACUUUCUUGUGUUGCAUUGAGCUUAUUGAUGUGGAGUUGAGAUUUCUCCUAGUUUUGUGCAUUAUUUACGAUGUUGCAUGCAUGAUGAGCUGCUAAUCUCGAGUCGUUAACCUCUUAAUGUGUUUAAAGUGUCAUUCAAGGACGAAUGUUCCCAAGUGGGGGAUAAUGUAACGACCCGUAAAAUGAAUAGGUGAAACUAGAGCCUAACAACUUUGUGUUUGAGUUGUUGUGAUAUUUGACGGUGUAAAAUGUUGUCCCAAGCUAUGGUUGAGGGGUUUAAGGGUUAAACGUCAAUGUACGACUCCCCAAGGACCACCCUAAGGGUCCUUGAGGAGGACCCUAAAGCCUAACCCUCAAGAAACCAAAACUACCCAAAAUUGUUAUGACCUACGGAAGGGGACCUACAGCCCGUAGGUCCAUCCAUACCCCGUGGAUGGCCUCCAUAGGUCAAGCCACCAAAAUGUGAGUUGUAGUCAUGGACCACGAGAUGACAGCACAGUCCGUGGGUGGGGUCUCGUUAGUGACCACUAUGUUGUUGUCCAAAGUCGGCCAAGUGGUGGGGUAGUUUAGUAAAUUCAUUUUAAGUGUAGUUUGGGGGACGGUGUCAAUUGGUUAUUUAAAGUAUUUUAAGGUUUUUUAAAGUAUUAAACUCUAUUUUCAACUCAUUAUUUCAAAACACUACAAAGAAAGAAACCUCCCCUCUAAAAGUUCUCUCUCUAGAAACAUCCAUUGGAGGUGAAGGAUUCAAACUUCCAAGGUCAAGACUUCAAGUUUUUCAAGGGAUUUUCAUGGAGUUCUUCCAUACAAGGUAUGGUAGUCUUCAUCCUUGAAUUAUUUUCUUUCAAGGAGCCAAUUUCAAAGUUGAAUUCAAGUCUCCAAUGUUUCCCCAAAAACCCUAGUUUCCAAUCUUGGCAUGGGUUCGAUUCUAAACGAUUUUCAAAGGCUUUAUUGCAUUGAAUUAUGACUGAAUUGUGGAUAUAAAAAUGAAUUAAGAUGAUUUCUUCCUUGAACCCAUGUUUUUCCCCAAAUGCUUAAGUUGUGAAUUGAGAUUGGGAAUUGGUUGAUUAUGUAGGUAUGUUGAAUUCUUGAUGUAUAUAUUGAAUUAGUUAUUGAAUCAUGUCAAUUUCCUUAUCAAUUGUAGUAUCUUGGAUUUAUGGGUUGAUGUUGGUUUUUAGCCUUGGAAGACAAUUUUAUGAGGGAUCUAUGUAUGAUUAUGAUGUGAAGUAUAUGUGUGUGAUCUCAAUGAAUGCAUUAUGAUCAUGUUUAGAAUGGAAUUGUGUUAGUAUUGAAAGCUUAUGAAUGAUGAUGAUAUAUGUGAAAGGUUAUUCUAACCUACACACACUUAAAUGAAGAAUGAUUGAAGUUUUCUAUGAUUAUGUUAAUGAUGAUGUGUUGAUUGAAAGGCUAUUCUCAAUUUUACUCUAAUGAAUGAUAAUGACAUGUUGUGAAAGGACUUUCUCACAAUAUGGGUAUUCUUAGGUGAAAGGCUAUUCUCAUCUUUGAAUCUAUGAGCUAUCCAAUGAAUGAAUGUUUGGUUUGGGAUGGAUACUCAUCCAUGAGUUGAGGCGGAGUAUCUAGUUACAAUCUCUUAUCCUAUAAUAAUGAACUAAUGUAAUGAAUGUUAAGUAUUCCAUGGGGAAUAAUGGUAAGAACCGAGAUGAUAUGUCUUGAGAUGGGUGCUCAUCUGUGAGUUAAGGCGGGGUAUCUAGUAUCAAUAUCCCUAUCCCUUAAACUAUGUGCGCACAUAGGUCUAGCUAGUGGAUCCGCCUAAGUUAAAAAUAAUGGCCCUACCUUAGGCAAGUAGGAAUCAUUUAUCUGGUGAGGGUGACACCGAAAUUCCAUGAAUUGCUUACAUGGUCUAUGUCGGUUCAGGCUUACCCCCACAAAGAAUGUUAAUGAACUAUGGCUUCUCAAGAAUGCACUACUUAGUGUGGGUGAUUGUAUGGAAUGCCAUCCAUGCAUUGCACAAGUAGGCUUUUGAGAGGGGUUGUGAUGUGUUCCUUUAUAAUGUUAAGUGUAAUGAAAAUGUUCUUAUGAUGCUGUUAAUGAGAAUGUUGGCUUAAUGUCUAAUGAAUGAAGGUGUUCUUAAUGAAGCUAAUGCAUAAUGUUGACUUAUGAAUUUAAUGUAAUGAUGCAUGUUAUAGUUGGAUUGUAUUAUGAGUUACUUCCUUGCCAUGACUUAAUGAAUAUGAAUGUGCCUUGUCUAUGGUGGCUUCAAAGGACUACUUAGUGUGAGUAGUAGUAUGGGAUGCUACUCAUACAUUGCAUAUGUAUGACUUAGAGUUGCCCUAGGUGAUGGUCCUAAUGUGUUGAUAUGACUUAUGAAAUGUUUAUGUCUGUUAUGUAGAGUAUUGUGUAAAGAUGGAAAGGAUGAAUGGUAAGUUCACCUUUGGAGGCCUUAAGUGGUAUCUAGUGUGGAUGGUGGUAUGGGAUGCUAUUCAUACAUUUCACAAGGUAUGGCUUGGGGUUACUUGAGAUGAAAGCUUAAGGUAAUGAAAUGUCUUAUACGUUGAUUAUGUUCUAAUAUGGUUAAAUGACUUGUAUGUUGAUUAUGUGUGUAUAUUAUGCCUCUUAUGCUUAUAUUCAUGAAGUUUUCUCAAAAUGGCAUAAAUCAUGACUUUCAAAUAAAAUGUUUGUUUUAAGCAUGGUUUUUGCAUGGCUAUCAUACUUAGUACUUAAUUGUGCUAACCCAUAUUGUCUUUACCUUUAUGAAGUCUAGGGAUUUGUACUCAAUUUGACUCUCUCUAGUUCAAGGGCUUGGAUUGAGAUUCCUCCAAGGCUAAGUGGUGUGUCCUCAUAGAUCGAGGACAAGUGUUUAGAUAUUUCUUUUCUUCCAUGUCAUAAACAAUUGUUAGUCUUUCGAUUGUAAAGGGUCGUGUCCCUACUUUAGUUUUCAAGAUGUUGGUUUAGAUGGCCAUGAGACAAUAGACUUCCACUACUUUCGAAUGUGUUAAAUGAGUAUUUUGAUUGUAUGAUUUUAAAGAAAGAUUUAAUUCCGCACUAUAUUCCUUAUAUCGUAUGUUAUGAAUGCUAUGAGGCUUGUAUGAGACUUUUCGAAGUCUUGUACGACGUGUCACUUCCGGGGUAUAGGCUCGGGUCGUGAUAGUUGGCUCAAGCCUUGACGGCGCAAGCCAAUAGAGAGGUGGUAGCUCCGGCAAACCAAUUAAGGGGGAUGGGUGCUUCUAGAAUAAGGGAGUUUUUGAGGAUGAACCCUCUAGAGUUUAGUGGCUCCAAGGUGGAAGAAGAUCCAAAUGGGUUCAUAGAAGAGGUUUAUAAGACACUUGCUAUAAUGGGGGUGAUUUCUAUAGAGAAAGUGGAACUAGCCACUUAUCAAUUGAAAGAUGUUGCCCAAAUUUGGUAUGAACAAUGGAAAGAUAGUAGGCCGGUAGAGGUCGGGUCCUAUACAUUGGGAUAUGUUUAAGGAGGAAUUUCUAAAUAGGUUCUUCCCCCGGGAGUUGAGGGAGGCCAAGUUGAAAGAGUUCAUCAACCUUAUCCAAGGUACUAUGAGUGUUAAGGAGUAUGCCUUGAAAUUCACUCUUUUGUCUAAGUAUGCUUCAUCCAUAGUGUCAAAUCCGAGAGAUAAGAUGAAUAGGUUUUUGUCGGGUGUGUCUGACACGGUAGCCAAAGAAUGUCGUACAACAAUGCUUGUUUAUAAUAUGGAUAUCUCACACCUCAUGAUUCAUGCCGAACAAAUGGAAGAAGAAAAACUUAAGGAAGAAAGAUCUAGGGAGAAAAAGAGGUCUAGGGUGGAUGGUGAUAAAGCUUUUUAUGAUGAAUCCGAUCGACAUGGUCAUUCUAGGAAUCGACAAAAGUUUUCUGGACAAGGCUUUUCUAAUGCUCCAAAGCAAAAGGGUAAGAGGGUAUCUACCCCUACGCCACAAGGGAUAAGAUAUGAGUCCCUAUGGACCUCUUGUGCUGGGUGUGGUAAGAGGCAUGAGGGUACAUUUUUGGCCGAUAGAAAGGGUUGCUAUAGUUGUGGUAAGAGUGGCCACAUAAUGAAAGAUUGCCCUAAGGCUAAGGUUACAAGAAGAGAGGGUAAGAAAGUUGCCUCUAGCAGUGGAGAUGUGGAGCCUCAAAAGAAGAAUAGGUUUUAUACUCUCCAAUCUAGAGAAGAUCAAGAGUGAUCUCCUCAUGUCCCUUCCGGUAUGUGCUUUAUGCUUUAGUAAAUUUCCGGAUUUAUUUUUUGUUGUGACUUGUUAUGUUGGACUUUGAAGUUGUUUUUAGCAUCUAUGAUGUUUAGAAAAGUUUGUGUAGGCUUACUCCCAAGGGGGAGAUAGUGGGCGUACCUAGUAGGGUUAUUGUAUGCUUUAUGUGUUGCCAUGAUCUCCUUAUAUGCAUGUUCAUGAAAAUGCUUAGGUCUUGUUAGAAAUGACUUAUUUGCAUUAUUUCCUCAUGUUGUCAUGCAUUUGAGUAAGAUUUGCAUAUAGACUUCAUGAAUUGAUUAUAAGCAUGCCUUAGUUGUCGGAGUUGAAAGGUUCCUCCUAGAAUAAAUGCUUUAUGAGAAGAAAUUUGCAUUUAGGCUCCUCCUUGAAAAUGUGUGUGUUGAGAAUGUUUUAGCUAGGAGAUGUUAGUUCCUCCUUGAAAAUGAGUGGAUAUAGAUUUUCAUGCAUUUUGGGGUGGUAGAAGUAGUUCCUAUUCCAUUGUGUGCAUUUUAUGUGUUUAGCUUGUGAUUGAAGUUCUCUUCCUUGGUUAGGUGCAUUAGAAAUAAUGCAUGCAUGAUGGGCUGUUAGCUUAGAGUUUUGACUUUAAGAAGUGUUUAGAAUCCUCAUUCGAAGACGAAUGAUCCCAAGGGGGAGAUAUUGUAAAGCCCAGGAAACUAGCAAGUUGAACUAGUGAGUUCUAGAGACUUUCGUAAGAGUUUGGGAGUGUUGUAUGAGGAUUAAAAGUCAUAAAAGAAUUUCCCGUAGAAUGAGGGUUUUAGGGGUUAAACAUCCGGGUACGACCCCCCAAGGACCACCCAAGGGGUCCUUGAGGAGGACCUCAAAAUAGCCCAAAAAGCUGUCAAAAAAAUGUCACCUACGUUUCGCCACGUACUGGCCGUAGGUGGACCCACAUCCCGUAGGUGGGGGUCGUGGGUCAAGGCCUGUUAAGGCCUGCAAGAUGAAUCCACCUACGAGUUUCCAUCAUGGGCAGUAGACCCAUCCACGGUCCGUGGAGGGGUGGGCGUAGGUCAACAUAGUUUUUGGACUUUUCGUUUUUAGUUAUGUGUUUAGGGGUUAAGUUAGUAACUAGUUAGGGUUUAGGGAGGUCGGUUAGUUAGUUAAAUAACCACCUAUGAAUACCUAAUACGACCCUAAAAUAAUUCAUUUAACUCAUUCAUCUAAGACCCCAAAAUACUACUCCAAAAAUACCUCUCUAGAAGUGAAGAAGAAGAAGAAGAAGAAGAAGAAGAAGAAGAAGAAGAAGAGGAAGAGGAAGAGGAAGAGGAAGAGGAAGAGGAAGAAGAGGAAGAAGAGGAAGAAGAGGGCAGAAGAAGAAGAAGGAAAUAGGGCAGAAACUAGGGUCGAAAUUCACCAUUGAAGCAAGCUUUCUUUAGGGCUUUGAGUUGAGGUAUGUUUAGCUUAUUCAUCUAUGGGUUCUUUCACCCGAGCCCCCAUAGUUUCCUCCAAUUGUGAAGUCAAAAACCCAUUCUAGUUAGGGUUGUGCUUGGAUUGUGGAUAGGGUUUGGGUAUGAUUCCAAUCUAGUGGAUAAUACCUAAUUAUGAUUUUAUUAGCAUGUAAUUGUGAUAUUAUGACGAAUUCAUGUGAUUUCUAUUGUAAACCCUAACCUAAAUUGAUGAAUGUGAUAAUUGUAGGUUUAUGCCAUGAGAGGCAAAAUUAAAGGUUCAAAGGUGAUCUUCCUGAAUCAAUACCAUGUAUAGUAAUUGAUCAAAGAUAGGAUCAUAUAAUAAUGAAUUGAACUAGACUUUAUUGAAUAUGAAUGAUCUUGAAUUGUAAAGAUGAAAUUGAACCUCUAUGAUGAUUUAUGACUUGAAUCACUUAGUAGUAAAGAAUGUAAUUUAAUAGCUUUUUAUUUAGACAUGAAUGAAGUUCAGCUUGAAAGUAGAGCUUGUAGCCAUCAAUGUUAGGACUUUGGGGGUAAAGCCAAUAUUAUGUGAUUGUGUUGUGUAUUGUUUCUCUCUUACACUCUUAGGCAUGAAUUUGCAAGGAGAUCCAAAGGUUCUCCCACAUAGAAGGAUUCUAGGUUGGCUUAAUAACCUAAAAUGAAUCAAAGCAUGUUAGACUAGAAUAGCUUGAAGUUGUGAUGUAUGAUCCCUUCAUGUAUAGCUUGGCUUAGUAGGAUAAGACCAAGGUUGUUAGCUUAGGAUGGAGGAUAUAUACUCUCCUAAGGUAUAGCUUGACUUGGCAUUGUAUAAUGCAUUUCAUGGUAGCAAGAGUUAGGAGUAGUCAUGGUAGCCUAGGAUUGAGGAUUUAUACUCUCCUAUGGGUAGCUUGAACUAGCAUUGUUAGGAUGCGUUCAUGGUAGCAUGACUUAGUUUGGCCAAGACCAUUUCAUGGUAGCUUUAGGAUUGAGUUCUUAUACUCUCCUAAGGGUAGCUUGACUUUGCAUUGUAAGAUGCAUUUCAAGGGUAGCUUGAGUUAGGUUAGUCAUGGUAGCUUGGGAUUGAGGACUCAUACUCUCUUAAGGAUAGCUUAGGAUUGAGAAUCAUACUCUCCUAAGGAUAGCUUGCAUUUGUAUCAUAAUAUACUUGUAAGGGUAGCAUGACUUAGUUUGUCUAGGACUAUUUCGUGGUAGCUAGGAUAGGACACUUAUACCUUUCCUAGAGUAGCUUGGACUUGCACGAUAGUGUGUCUUCCAAGGUAGUUAGCUUAGCUCAACCUAGUUAUGUUAGUAAUAUGACAACAUGGUCUAGCCUAUUAGGGGGUUAUUUCUUGGUAGCCUUGAAUAGAGGGAAAUAGAAUAGAGGGACUAGUCCCCAACUAGUGAACAUUCAUGGUAGUCUAAAGGAGUACUUAGUGUGGGUAGUAGUAUGGGAUGCUAUCCAUACAUUGCACAAGUAUGACUUAAGGCUAGGUAUGAUGGGUUCCCACACAUAGUAAGACUUAGCUUGGGCUGUUUCUAUAGUUGCCUUCCAAGAUAUGAUUGACUAAAGGUGAUAGUUCCCUUGUCUACAUGUAGUAAGGCAAUAGUAAGACCAAAGGAGUGUGAAUAUGACUAUGAUGACUUCAAGGUUAUACUUAGUGUGAAGGGUAGUAACAGACCUGAAUAGUCCACAAAUUGGAUUCAUUUAGGGCUGUAUUUUGAUAGAAAUAGUGUCCUCGAAUGCUUAUUUUGUCUCAAUAUCUGAUGAAAACUUUUAGGUUUCAGGAACUUGAUGUUUUAGUGGAAGCAUGUACAUUUCGGCGCAAAAGGGAACAAAAAGGCUGAAAAGAACGAAGAACCUGAAGCUCGAGCAUCGCCAAGCACACUUUGAAAAUCUCCAAGCACACUUGGCGAAUCGCCGAAGGGAUUUACUCCGCCAUUUGUUCUAGUACGCGAUGCCCUGAAGGAGAAGGAUCAAAAAGGCGAUAAAAGGAGCAGUCAGCGCUUCGUCGAAUAGUUCUGAAAAGCAGUACUAUACCUCCCAAUGGUCUAGAAUGUGAAGAUGCGGAAGGCAAGCACGAAACGACGAUGAGACAGACGAAGAGCGAAUCACUAAAUUCAUUAGGCGAUAUCGACUAACUUCACUGAAAGAUCCGCCAACACUAUUUUCCAAAGUCUAUAAAUACUGAAGUUUGUAUUAAUUUUAGGGAGUCAAACUUUUAUUUUAAUUUCCAUAAUAGAAUAGUACUUUUUGGAUAUUUUUCUCUCAAGUUUGGAGAGGGUUUUUGGGAAACUUGAAGAAAUAAGGAUUUCAUCUUUCUCAAGUUGGAAGUGGGUCUUCUCCAUUCUUCUUCCUUUGCUUAAAUUAAGGUUUAAUUUAUUAUACCCAUUUGAUUUUACUAUCAUUUUAGGUUUAUUUUGUUAUUUCUUGAUGUGUGACUAAAAAACCACAUUCUUGGGGUGUGAUUUAGCAAAUAUGUGUUGAUAUUAUUGUUGGGUCUUGCUUGCUAAUAGGUUAGAUGUAUUUUAAUGGUGAUUUCACAUAGUGGUUGUGGUUUAAUCUAAAGGGUUUGUAGUUGCAAAUACAAAGCCACCCAUGUGUUUUCGGCUUGCCCGAGAGGGAGGGUGCGAAACCAAGACCACUAGACUGAUAGCCUAAGGAGUGGGUCGACAUGAGGUUCUGCCCCGAGAGGGGUGAGUCCUAGUCCCCAUAUCCUAACACUCAGCUCGAGAGAGUGAGUGGGGUAAGGUGUAGGCUGGUCUUCAUGCUUCAAAUGGGUGUCCGAGAAGAAUGCAUUUGAAACGGGGUAAGUUGCCCGAGAGGGAACUUAUUUCCAUUUAAAGCUUAGGCUAGUCACUAUUAUCUUACAAUUUUUCUUUCAAAAGCAUGUACCCAACUACUUAUCUCAACUUGUAUUGCGGUCACACCCCAAGAACAUGUCCCCUUACUUGAUUUUAUUGUUAAUUUUUGCUAUUUUUUCUGCUUGUGACAAAAAUCCCAAAUCGAUACUUGACACUUUUGUGUCUCCCCUUUAAUUUACUAUGUUUUUAAUCGUUAAUGUCUUUAGCUACGACUAGUUAGAGCUUAGUUUUAUUUUUCUAUCAUUUCUCAAAACCACUCCCUUUGGACACGACCCUAACCUUUAGUUGGGUUACUAUACUAUCAACGAUCAUAGACACUCAUACCGUAGGUUAGUGUCAUUAGUCACGAUAAGCAUCAAAAUGGCGCCGCUGCCGGGGAUUGGUGUUAUUUGAGAAUUUUUAGAUUAGUAGAAUUUUUGUUCUUCUGAUUUGUAGUUUACUAAUUUUACAUUUAGUUUUGUUCUUCAUUGAGUUGUCCAUUAAGAUGAGCAUGGCUGAGCAAUGUAGUGGCAAUUUGGUUGAAAUGAGCCGAGGAGUCCAAAAGGACCUCACACUGACUGCACUGGCAUCUCAACUAUACGACUUGGCCACCAAAAUCUCAGAGGUGGAAGUCCAAUGCAACAAUAAGGGGAGGUAUAUACCCCCUCAUGAGCAGAGGAAGUCUAGAAAUUGGGAGAAAAAUCAUGUCGAGGACACACUUCAAAUCAUUCUCCAAAAGAUUACCGAUCAAGAUCGGUGUUGGAAGAAAUGAAGGAGAAUGUUGAAGUGUUGAAUCAAAUGAUUGGAUCUCACUCUAGAUCAAUCCAGCUGAUCAGGUUAUUCCUGAGUUUUGCAGUACCUCAUCUCGACCUAAAUGACAUAUUGGGGUCAACUAGUGACAUUGGGGCAAACCCCAAUAACGGAGAGUGAGACAGAGCUUCCGUCGUGCCACGAUGUAAAAUAAGGCGCUUCCUGGGAGGCAACCCAAGGUUUUACUGCUUUUAAUUCGUCUGUUCGAAUAAUGGUGUGCUGAUUUUGUAGGGUAAAAUGAGAAAGGUGUUGAGAAGUGCAAGUUGGUGAGACAAUGACCCAGUGGGUAAGUCGCCGAAUCUAUCGGCGACUCCGACUUAAUCCACCGUUGGGACCCCAAAAUAAGAGAUGUCCUGUAAAACUCGGCGAGGUAAGUAUACAUUCAGCGCGUUGCCAAUUUUAUCGGCGAUAAGACUAACGUCACCGAAUGACAUAGAACUGAACGGUUAUGUAAAGGCAGAAAGUCAAAAUGUUUGAAGCUCUCACUUUCCCUCUUCUCAAACUCCUCAAAAUCACACCAAAGGUACUUUUUAUUAAAUUUUUACCUUUCCAUUAGUAUUUCAAUUGGUAAAUAGUGCUUGGGGUUGGAUCUCUUUGCUGCCUAGCAUUUCAAAAAGAAUUUGAUCGGCAUUAAAGGGUAGCCCAUAAAACCCCGAUUUAUCUUAAAAGUUUUUGCACUCUUUUGCAAUUGUAGUAUCAGGAUGACGUGUGUUGGGCCUCUCUGAUAGAAAUAAGUUGAUAUGCUAUGAGUAAUUUGAGCUUAAUUUCCUGAAAUAUUUUAAUAGUCGAAUGCCUUGUUGUUUGUGCAUUAAUUUGAUUGAGUUUGUACUGGGUGUUGCUUGAUUGUCGUUAUAUUGGUGGGGUAAAACCUAAAUGGACCAAAUUAGUGCUAAACAACAAAGAUUACUCAACAAAAGAAUGGGUGACGACAUUCUUAAAGGUGAUCGUAUGUAAAUGGCCAAAAUUUGGCAAGACCGGAAGAAGUCUGAGUAUUCUGUGAUGAUGGGAAGUAUGGGUCUUUUGUGAAUUUCGUGUAUGCAUGCUUUGAUUUUGUUUCCAAGGUUUGUAAGGUCGAUUCUAAGAAGUGGGUUGAAAAGUAGGCACGUUAAAUCAGUCGGCGAGCUGGGUCGAGCUCGCCAAAUGAUUCGACGGUUCGCCUACUGGUCUUAGAUCACCCUUUACUCAUGUCCAUAGUACUGAAGGAUCUGUAACUCUCGACGGACACAUCCGUGGUCAUCGAAGGUAGUCGGCGACUCGCCAAUAGGACUUUAGACCGACCUUUGCAUGCUCCCUUUACCCUCUUUCACUGCAUCUUUUGGUGGACAACUUCGUCAUCGUCGAAAGUAGUCGGCGUCUCACCACUUAGACUCUUUCAUCACUUAUUUUCCUAGAUUUCAAGCUUAUCCCUUCGGCGAGUUCGACCUAGCUCGCUAAAAGAGAUUUGGUGAUUCACCGACUAAUCGAUGAACCUUUCUGCUUCAGAUUUUCUGUGUUUUAGUAUGAUUGUUCUUCUGACUAGUCAUAAAAUUUAGCAGAUAUGGUACGCACAAACCUAAAUGCACUACCGCAGAAAAAGGCAACAUGAGUUUGAGACACCCUUUUUGAACGGCUGAACUUGAGUUUGUUUGAGGACAAGCAAAAGUUUAAGUUGGGGCUAUUGAUGAGUCCACAAAUUGGACUUAUAUAGGGCUGUAUUUUGAUAGAAAUAGUGUCCUCGAAUACUUAUUUUGUCUCAAUAGUUGAUGAAAACUCUUAAGUUUCAGGUAUUUGAAGUUUUAAUGGAAGCAUGGACACUUAGGCGCAAAAAGGAACAAAAAGGCUGGAAAGAACAAAAAAGAUUAAGCCCGAGCAACGCCAAGCACACUUAGCGAAUCGCCGAAGGGAUUUACUCCGCCAUUUGUUCCAGUACGCGAAGCACUGAAGGAGAAGGAUCAAAAUGGUGAUAAAGGAGAAGUCAGAGCUUUGCCAAAUGGUUCUGCGAAGCAGUACUAUACUCCCCAAUGGUCCAAAACCUAAAUAUGCGGAAGACAAGUACGAAACGGCGAUGAGACAGACGAAGGGCGAAACUCUGAAGUCAUUAGGCGAUAUCGACUAACCUCGCCGAAAGAUCCGCCAGCGCUAUUUUAUGAAGUCUAUAAAUACUGAACUUAUUAUUAAUUUUAGGGAGUAGAACUUUUAUUUUAAUUUCCAUAAUAGAAUAGUACUUUUUGGAUAUUUUUCUCUCAAGUUUGGAGAGGGUUUUUGGGAGAUUUGAAGAAAGAAGGAUUUCAUCUUCCUCAAGUUGGAAGUGGGUCUUCUCCAUUCUUCUUCCUUUACUUAAAUUAAGGUUUAAUUUCUUAUACCCAUUUUAUUUUACAAUCAUUUUAGGUGUAUUUUUUUAUUUCUUGAUGUGUGGCUAAAAACGCCCAUCCUUGAGGUGUGAUUUAGCAAAUAUGUGUUGAUAUUAUUGUUGGGUCUUGCUUGCUGAUAGGUUAGAUGUACUUUAAUGGUGAUCUAACCUAGUGGUUGUGGUUUAAUUUAAUGGGUUUGUAGUUGCAAAUACAAAACCACCCAUGUGUUUUCGGCUUGCCCGAGAGGGAGGUCGCNNNNNNNNNNNNNNNNNNNNNNNNNNNNNNNNNNNNNNNNNNNNNNNNNNNNNNNNNNNNNNNNNNNNNNNNNNNNNNNNNNNNNNNNNNNNNNNNNNNNNNNNNNNNNNNNNNNNNNNNNNNNNNNNNNNNNNNNNNNNNNNNNNNNNNNNNNNNNNNNNNNNNNNNNNNNNNNNNNNNNNNNNNNNNNNNNNNNNNNNNNNNNNNNNNNNNNNNNNNNNNNNNNNNNNNNNNNNUAAGAACUCUUCCCCAUACUUGAUUUUCUUGUUAAUUUUUGCUAUUUUUACUUCUUGUGACAAAACCCCCAAAUCGAUAUUUGACACUUUUGUGUCUCCCCUUUAAUUUACUACGUUUUUAAUCGUUAAUGUCUUUAGCUACGACUAGUUAGAGCUUAAUUUAAUUUUCUAUUAAUUCUCAAAACCACUCCCUUGGGACACGACCCCAAGCUUUAGUUAGGUUACUAUACUAUCGACGAUUGUAGACACACAUACCGUAGGUUAGUGUCGUUUGUCACGAUAAGCAUCAAUGCCUUUCAUGCAUCACACAAGUGUGCUUUGAAGUCACUUAGGAGUAUGGUACCCUUAUAGUAUAAAGGCGUAAGAGUUAACCAUGCAUAUAGACUAUGAUUAAGAUGUCCAAAAAGGGAUACUUGGCUUGGGUGGUAUUAUGGGAUGCUAUUCUUGCUUUGGAAAUGUAUACUUUUGAGGUUACUUGAGAAUGGUGCUAUUAUGCUAAAGAUGACCAAGAGUCAAUUAUGCUUAUUAUGAUUCUGACUUAUCUCCUAUGCUCAUUAACAAUGUCUUAUGUGGACUUAUGUUUAUAUGAUGCUUAUGUUGGAGACCAUGCUAUGACUAUGAUGAGUAUGCUAUGAACAUGUUAUUAUCUCUUAUGUUUAUGUCUUAUAUUGACUAACCAUUUUGAGAUACUCUUAUGAUGUUGUGCUAGCUUUCAUACUUGGUACAUUUUGUAUUAACGCAUAUUGCCUACAUUCUAUCAAUUGUAGGGUUUCGGAGAUUGAGUUGCUUUGGAGGCUAGGUUUCUAAGGUGCAAGAAGAGUUGAAGAAUUGGUGAGUCCUCAUAGCUUCGAGGACAAACCCAUGUUUCCUUUAUGUCAUUUAUUUAUGUUUUAGACUUUGUAUGGGAUGUGUCCUAAGAGUUUCAUUCAAGAAUUAUGUUAAAUGGUUUGAGACAAAGGAUUAGUAAAUACUUCCUCUUACUUUUAUGAAAAAUGACUUUGAUUGUAAAAGUUUUAAAUUUUCCCGUAUUUUGUUUCUAUUACAUAUGUUAUGAUGCUAAGGACUUGUAUGAGACCCAUUCGGGAUCAAGUACACCAUGUUACAUCAAGGGGGUACCCUUGGGUCGUAACAAAGGGAAAGAUUAGGGGAUGAAGAACCCCAACCCACACCCUACCAGUAUGGGCCGUGGGUUAGUCCACGCCCCAUAGGUGGAGGUCGUGGAUGGGGCCUAUAGGUUGGUCCAAGUCGAUUUAAAGGAGGGGUAGUUUAGGUAAUUCCUAUUUUAGUUAGUAUGAUGUGAGGUCAUUUUGUAUUUUUUUUAAUACACCUAUAUAAGUCCUUUUAAGUCAUUAACCAACCCAUUCACCUCAUAAAUCCUAAUACCCAAAUCCAUAACCAAUUUUCCCCAAAUAAACUCUCUCUAGAACUCCAAGGAAGCAAAAGAAGAAAAGUUAAUCUAGGGUUGAACAAUCAAUAUUUUCUAAUCAAAUUCAUGGGAAAUAUUCAAUAAGGUAUGGUAACUCUUCAUCUAUGGGUAGCCUUCACCCAUAGAGCCCCUUCAAAACCCCCCAAUUUCAAAUCUAGAAAACCCAAAAGUUACUGUUUGACUUCAAUCUCAUGGAUUCCUUUCAAAUUCGUUUUAAAUGAUUGAAUUAUGUUUUUAUGGAUAUAUUGAUGAUUUUCUAUGAUUGUAAGUUGAAUUCCCCAAGAAUCCAUUGGAUCUUAAAGUGUGGGUCUUGAUUGAUGCAAGUAGAAUGUUAUGAAUUGAUUACUUGAAUUAUGUUAUCAUUCAUGCAUACUGUAUUAAUUCUAGGUGUGUUGAUUGAAUGUGAUCUAUUUUCCUUGAAGGGCAAAUUAUGAGAAUUAUGUAUUAUCAUGAUAUUUAUGUACAUGCUUUAUGAAUACAUUGACAAUAAAGUGAUUAUACCUAUGAUGUAAUUGUGGUGUUGUUGAAAGGUUAUUCUCACACACGCACACUUAUAAAUGAAGUUUCUAUGAUUAUGAUAAUGAUGAUGUGUUGAUUGAAAGUCUAUUCUCAAUUAUACACUUAUGAAUGAUGAUGACAUAUUGUGAAAGGUUUUCUCACAGUAUGGAGAUUCUUUGGUUGAAAGGCUAUUCUCACCUACUUAAUCUAGGAGCUAUCUUAUGAAUGAUGUUGGAUUGGGUGUUGAUAUAUUCUUCCAUAAUAAUGAACUCAAGUAAUGAAAUGAUAGGUACUUCGUGGGGAAUAAUGCUAAGCACCGAGUGGAUAUUGAUAUGAGAUGGAAGCUCUCAAAUGAGUUGAGGAGGGGUUUCUAGUAGCAAUCUCUUGAGAUGGAUGCCCAUACGUGAGUUGAGGCGGGGUGUCUCGUAGCAAUCUCCUUAUCCCAUAAUUAUGUGCCCUCAUAGGUCUUUAGCUAGUGGAUCCACCUAAAAGCUAAAUUAAUGGUUCUACAUUAGGCAAGUAGGACACCCUUUUCUGUGUGGGUAACACCGGAUUCCAUGAUUUGCUCACAUGGUUUAUGUCGGUUAAGUCUUACCCCCACAAUGAAAGAUUAUGAACUAUGGCUUCUCAAGAAUGAACUACUUAGUGUGGGUGGGGGUAUGGGACUUCAUCCAUGCAUUGCACACAUAGGAUUUGAGAGUAGUUGUGGUGUGUUCCUCUUAUGUUAUGAUGAUUUAUGAAAUGAAGUAUGCUUAAUGUGAAUUGUUGCUAUGAGUUGCUUUCUUUUAUAUGACUUAUUAAAUGUGAAAGUAUCCUUAUCUAUGAGUAUGAACAAAGGAUGAAAUCGAAGAAUGGUAAGUAUGAUUAUGGUGGCCUAAAAGUGAUACUUAGUGUAGAUGGGAUUAUGGGAUCUUAUCUAUGCAUUGCACAAGUAUAACUUAGGGUUACUUAUGAGAUGGUUCUAGUAUGCUAUGAUGAUCUAUAUGUUGAAAAUGCUUAUGACUUAUGCUUUUGUACUAAUGUGCAUGAUGAUUCUCAAACUGGGUAAAGUGCAUGCUUUUUAACUAAAAUGUCCUUUUUAGCAUGUAAAGGUUUUGGUGCAUGGCUAUCAUACUUCGUGCAUUUUUGUACUAACCCAUAUUUUCUACAUUUUCCCCAAAGUCUAGGGUCCGGUUCUUAAGGCGAUCUUAUCUUGGUUCAAACAUGGAUCGACUAUUCUCCUAGCUUGUGUUGAGUCCUCAUGAUUUGAGGAUGUAUGAGUCAUUUAGUAGUUUAGUUGUAGUGUUUCAUUUUCGGACGAUAUUGUAAGGGUUGUGUCCCUAUUUGAUUCAAAGAUUGUAUUAGAUGGCUAUCUAAGACAAGUUAGACUUUCGCUUGCUUUUAUAAAAGACUUCGAUUGUAUGGAUAAAGUUUUAAAUUUCCACAUCAUUUCUUUUAUCCUAUGUGAUGAGAUGCUAAGGGCUUGUAUGAGACCCCUUCGGGGUCAAGUACGAUGUGUUACAUCUAGGGGAGUACUCCUGGGUCGUGACAAACUUGGUAUCAGUAUGAUGUCUCAUAAGCCACGUCUAGUAGAGUGUUGUUCAUAGUGUGAAGCGCGCCACAUUUAUGAAUGAGAGGAUAGAAUAUGAUUAGGAAAUCUCACUUCUUCAUUCUUUAAGUUGUUCCAUAGAGUUUAACUCUAUAAGGUCUUUCUCCCUAUGGUCUUCAGGAUAUGACUACUCGAAGUGCUCAUGCUACAAGGAGCGAGGGAGAAAAUGUUGGUUGUUAUACCAACUAUGACUAUGUUAAGGCUUGAUAUGUUAGAUUUAGAUGAUAUCCUUAUGAUAGAUUGGUAGUAUUAUUUUUAUGCUCCUCUGUGAUUGUUGAACCCGUACAGUCAAAUGGUUAGUUUUCGAGUGAGCCUAUACAUGAGUGGAAGGAGGGAAAGUCUAUGUCCUAAGUUUGGAUUAGGUUUUGUCUUAAGGUUGAUUUUGAGGGUUGCAUGAAUCACCUAGUGAAGGUAAGGGAGAAGAGUUCAAGUGUUGACCAACUUCAAAGAGUUAGUUAUUCUUAAGAUUGAUCUUAAGUAUGGUCAUUUUGAGUAACGUGUUUAGAUAAUACUUGAAUAUGAUUGAAUGGUAGGUCCCACCAAAGGUGAUGAUAUGAGUUGAAAUAGUUUAGAAUUGACUUGCUUCGACCUUAGAAUUGAAAAAAAUGAUGCUUAGAAGAGUUGAUAUAGGCUUACUCCCAAGGGGGAGAUGAUGUGCCUAGAAAGUUUGGUCGUUGAAUAUUCUUGAUGUUCAUGAUUUGGAUUAGCUUGAAGUUAUCACCUUGAGAGAUGUAUUGAGUUUAACACCUCGUAUUCUACGUGUAUUAGUUCUAUUUAUAUGAUGCUUAUAAAUUUCCUUGUGGUAUAGUUAUGGACUCGUUUUCUUAUGUGACUAGUGACAAUAUAAUAGGCUUAAAGUGAACUGUUUGUGGAUUUUGAUGCGACCCGAUUAAGUUGACGUCGAUGGAAGUAUUUAAACUUGAGAUCAUAAGGUGGUAUUUGAGUCAAGUUUAAAGUGACAUAGUGUAUAUAANNNNNNNNNNNNNNNNNNNNNNNNNNNNNNNNNNNNNNNNNNNNNNNNNNNNNNNNNNNNNNNNNNNNNNNNNNNNNNNNNNNNNNNNNNNNNNNNNNNNNNNNNNNNNNNNNNNNNNNNNNNNNNNNNNNNNNNNNNNNNNNNNNNNNNNNNNNNNNNNNNNNNNNNNNNNNNNNNNNNNNNNNNNNNNNNNNNNNNNNNNNNNNNNNNNNNNNUGACAAGUAGGAGCAUCACCUACUAAGACUCUUUUGACCAUGUUAUUGGGCCAAGUACACGACACCUACUUGCCUCAAUUUGGCCCAAGUUGAAUAGAAGAAUAAGGGGAAAAUGGACAGCCAAGGCCCAAUCUUUCCAAGCCCACAAGAAAUAAUUUGAAUGGAAAAGUCGGUGCAUCACCUAUUUAAAUGUGUGGCCUAAAUUAAAGACACAUGUUGGCUGCAAAUGAAGUACAAGAAAGGUGGCAAAAGAGAACCUAUUAAGGCCAAAAAUCUGAUACAAAUAUCACAUUUUCCUCUUAUCAAAAUUUUAAGCUCUUAAGUUCAUAUAUUUCUCUCUCAAGAUGAAACAGCCACCCAAUAUUUCCACUAGGGUUCUAACUAUUUUUCAUGUUGUUUCUUCCAAAGAAGCCAUAAGAUAACCUUCUCUCCUCUAUUGUUUCAAGUAUAUUGGAUAGUUCUUCAAGGGGAGUGAACUAGAGAUAGCUAUAUGUGUUGGCAUCCAAGGUUCUGCCACCCUCUUCCAAAGAUUAAGAGAAGGUUACAAAAACAGUAAUUGAAGGAGAAUAACAGAUUUAGAUAGCCAAGGUAAGGGCGCUGCCACAACCUCUAAUUAUUAGUUUAUUUGAGAAUUCUAGACUUACUUCUUUAUUGCAACUUGUGGGAUGGUGAUUGAAAACCAUAAAUUCAAGUCUUUUGAUUAUUUUUGAGUGUUGAGGACUGCUAUUGUAUUGAUUUGUUUAUGGGAGGUCAUGGAUGUACUUAGAGAAUGAUUGCGGAAAGCUAUAGGGGGGAAAUUUAUAAGCUAUGGUGAUGCAGCAUUAAAUUAAAGUUUUGGUAAGCUCACUGCCCGUUCCAUGGGANNNNNNNNNNNNNNNNNNNNNNNNNNNNNNNNNNNNNNNNNNNNNNNNNNNNNNNNNNNNNNNNNNNNNNNNNNNNNNNNNNNNNNNNNNNNNNNNNNNNNNNNNNNNNNNNNNNNNNNNNNNNNNNNNNNNNNNNNNNNNNNNNNNNNNNNNNNNNNNNNNNNNNNNNNNNNNNNNNNNNNNNNNNNNNNNNNNNNNNNNNNNNNNNNNNNNNNNNNNNNNNNNNNNNNNNNNNNNNNNNNNNNNNNNNNNNNNNNNNNNNNNNNNNNNNNNNNNNNNNNNNNNNNNNNNNNNNNNNNNNNNNNNNNNNNNNNNNNNNNNNNNNNNNNNNNNNNNNNNNNNNNNNNNNNNNNNNNNNNNNNNNNNNNNNNNNNNNNNNNNNNNNNNNNNNNNNNNNNNNNNNNNNNNNNNNNNNNNNNNNNNNNNNNNNNNNNNNNNNNNNNNNNNNNNNNNNNNNNNNNNNNNNNNNNNNNNNNNNNNNNNNNNNNNNNNNNNNNNNNNNNNNNNNNNNNNNNNNNNNNNNNNNNNNNNNNNNNNNNNNNNNNNNNNNNNNNNNNNNNNNNNNNNNNNNNNNNNNNNNNNNNNNNNNNNNNNNNNNNNNNNNNNNNNNNNNNNNNNNNNNNNNNNNNNNNNNNNNNNNNNNNNNNNNNNNNNNNNNNNNNNNNNNNNNNNNNNNNNNNNNNNNNNNNNNNNNNNNNNNNNNNNNNNNNNNNNNNNNNNNNNNNNNNNNNNNNNNNNNNNNNNNNNNNNAUUUAUAAGCUAUGGUGAUGCACCAUUAAAUUAAAGUUUUGGUAAGCUCACUGCCCGUUCCAUGGGAUGGUUGUUUCAUGCAAAUAACUAUAACAGACAAAAUUUGUGAAAUAAAACAAUCAAUUAGACGGAUUAUGGGUUUGCUGCCUGGCUACUAUUUGAUGAGUUGAAAUAUCCCGAGUUGGUUGGUAAGCUGCUAAUAUUAGCCUUAAUGAUUGGUUAUUGUAGAUGAAAACUAUGACGUUAAAGGACAUGUUGACACUUCGUAAGCUAUAUGAAUUGGAAAUUGAGGUAUGUAAGGCUAUUCGAUUUCCUAUUUCUUUGGCAUGAAUUCAACACUUGUAUUACAAAGUAAGCUUUCUAAGUGCCCUUGGUAGUGACUGAUCCAUAGUUGCAGUUCCUACUCCCUAGAGCAUCAAAGUGAGUACUCUAAUAUGAGUUUAUUACUAAAUGUAUGUGCUUACUCUGCCAAGUAUUAGCAUGCAGGGUUUAAACUUGUUUCAUCGUCAAAGUACCCUUGGCACGUAUUCCCCUGAUACAAAUCAAAAUAAUCCUAGUACUACAACAUUUUAGGCUUUUAGCCACCCCAGUAAAGUGUAGCCUAAACUAGCAAAAAGUGUGGCCUUUCAUAAAAGGCUACAUUUUUGGACUUUAAGCAACUCUUUUCAGGGGUGGCCAAAAGAAGCGUAGCCUUUAACAUUGGGCCACACUUUUUAAAUGUCGCCAUAGCAGCUACACUUAAAAAGCGUGGCAAAAGAGGUAUAAGGGCACACUUUUUAGUAAUUCAUUAGCAAUACCUUUUGUUUGAUUAUACUACACUUAAAAGUGUGGCAUUUUCUUUGUUAUUGGGCACACUUAAAAAAAUUUGUCUUUUAAAUCUCAUCUAGAGCAACACUUAUAAGUGUAACUUUUCUUAUGUACAUCAAGCCACACAUUGGACGUCCCUAUGCAACACUUUUCAACUGUGGCAAUGUUGUGUAGAAUUUUUGUAGCCACAAUUUUUCAUUUUUAAGAAUAAUAAUUUUUAUUUGCAUAUAUUCAAUAAUCACAUAUAAUAAUUAGAUAUAUAAUCGAUCUAAAGCACAAAAUUAGCUAAUAAAUAAAUCAAAAUUAUAUAUUUCAAAUAAACUUCAAGAAACAUAUCUUGUACAACCAAUACUUAGACAAACAUGUCUUGUACAACCAAACUUCGACAAACAUGUUCUCUACUAUCAAUAAAUUCCACAAAACCAAAUGAAUUCAAACAUAUAUAUAUAUAUAUAUAUAUAUGAAAAUAGUACAAAAACACUUCAUCGUUCACUAAAAUAGAUCAAGUUUACUUCAGUCAACUAUUCAAAUUCAACUACUAUCAUUUUCUUGUACAUUCAAAAUAAAAUUAUAAGUUAGUGAAAUAAAUAAUGUGUAUUUAAUAUGCUCAAAUUCACAGUAAGCCAAACCAAUCCAUAACAAUAAAGUCAUAGGAGAGCAACCAUAAACUGAAGCUUUCCUUAAUACAAAUCUAAAAUUGAGUCACAGUAGUAAAGCUCUCCAAAACUAACAAAUCUAAAACUGAGUCAUAACAAUAAAGUCACAACAAAGGUCUCCAAAACCAACAAAACAACAAGUUGACAUUGAAAAUUGACCAACCCAUGUCAUCACAACAGAGUAAAAUGUUAAAGCUGCUAUGAAUUCGGCAAAAAAAAAGGUUUGAAAAACUACAAAUAGAUGCAAAUCAGGAUUCAGAAGAGAAAGUUUGAUCAUUUUCACUGGAUCCAGAACCAACCAUAUACUGAAACUCUCUCUUGUCAUAAAUCUCCAAUAAAAAAUCCCUAAGCAUUUGUGUAGUACUUGUAGUUGUGGAACUACUAGAACUCGAACUUGGAGCCAUUGCUGAAGAAACAGUGCUUAUCUUGUCUCCAUUCCCAUCAUUUUUUUACACACAAGAGCUGCUCAAAUGAAUCUCAUUAGCAGCAGCAACAAUAGAGACCCAUCGUGCUGCAUAUCGGUUGACGGUGCCAAUUGACUAAAACUUUCCCCUUAGGCAUAAAUAGACUACUGGAAGACAAAUAUUUAUAAAUUUCAACAUUUUAAAUACAAGAGACAUUUAAAAGAAACAAAUAAUCACUUGGAAAGCUAAUUCAUGUUGAAGGAGAGGCUAGUAGAACUGGUUCUCUUGUUUUUACUGAUCUAAAUGUUCUGGUCAAGCUCGAGUGUCUAGAGAAGGAGAACACAACUCUCAAACUUGACCUUUCAUCUUGUUUAAAUGAGUUGCAAAUUAAGACCAUAGAGAGGUACUUGAGCACCCAAGCAGCAAAAACUACUAGUAAGUAGCAGUUAUAGAGCAUAAAGAAUGUGACCAAGCUUGAAGUGGAGUGUCAGAAACUACAAGCCUUGGCUCGCAAAUCAUCCCUACUUAGUGACCAAAGAUCUUAUGUUGUUUCAUCCUUCUCUAUUGAGUCCUUCACCAAUGGUCAAUCCGAUAGUGGAGAUCAACUGAAGACAGUCCACUCUGAUAGACAAAUGUUGUGCAAACCGGAAACAACUGAAUGUGAUCAAAGUUGCUCUGAUUCAUGGGCAUCAACACUAAUUUCUAAGCUUGAUCAAUUUCAGCACGAAAAAGUUAUGCCUAAAACUCUUGCUGCCCGGUCUUUGGAAAUUGACAUUAUGGAUGACUUCUUGGAGAUGGAGAGAGUCGCUGCAGUAUUUGAAAUUGUGAAUAAAGUCUCUUCACUUAUAUCUGAUGUUGUUGUUGAUGACUCAUCAAGUGAAGAGAAUCCCCUGUCAGCAGAAUAUGAGACCCUUUCACAAAGGGUGGUUGAAUUAGAGCAAAAGAUGGAGAAGAUUGAAGCAGAUAAAGUUGAACUAGAAAAUGCUUUAAGUGAGAGCCGAGAUGCCCUCAAGGUGUCUGAUUUGCAACUUAAGGAUGCUCAAAUAAAGAUAGAAGAGACACAAAAGGAGUUAGAUACAGUGAAUGAGUUAAAAGAGUUGCUUGAGUUUCAACUCUCUGGCAUGGAAAUAGAAUCACGAACAAUGUCUGCAAACAUUGACUCUUUAAAGACAGAAUUAGAAAGAGAAUGAUCCUUGUCAUCUGAUAAGGAAACUAAGUGCCAGGAAUUGGAAAAUGAACUAAGAAGAAAAUCCCAGGAAUUUGAACUUCAACAAGCUUCUACUUCAAAUGAUUAGUCGAAAAUAAAGCAGGUAACGCUUGUCUCAAUGGAUUCUUUUUAUGUUGUUCAAAAGUCUUGAAGCUCUUAUAUGCUAAGAUUUUCUAUUUGGAGGAUGAUGUAGUUGUAGGUGCUGACAAGCUUGCCGAAUGCCAGAAAACAAUUGCAUCUCUUAGGAAGCAUCUUCAUUCACUAGCCACUUUAGAAGAUCUCUUGAUUGACACAACAAAUCUUUUUGGAUUUCCUGGGGAAGGUUCAGUUGUGGCUGGAGCUAGUGGAGUGGAAUGGAAGUUACAUGUAAAUGAAACAUUUACCCGAAACAGCAAUUCAGACACUCCAAAAAUUGAGAAUUCUAGUCAUUCUAUGAACGGAAAUGAAGGAGAAUCAUCAUCUUCUUCGUCGUCAUCAUCAUCAGCUACUGAAGUGACAACAUCCAAAAGUAGAAAUGGUUUCGGGAAGUUGUUUUCUCGAAGCAAGAGUGGAAUUCAACUCUAAAAUGUAAGAGUAUAUUUGAGUAACAAAAUCAAAAGGGAUAUGACUAGAGGAAAGCCGAAUUGUAAUUUUCUUGAGAUUGAGCCAUCAUUGUUGCCAUCAAAUAUUCAUAUGGUUAUAAGUAGGAAUGGCUAAUUAAAUUUUGUUUAAUUAGCAUCAUAUGUUCUUUGAUUGUUAAGAGAAUUUUCAUAUCUUUAAAAAAACAAACAACACCAAAUAUGUCACAUUAUAAAUCUGUGCGUGCAAGAUAACUUAAAAAGAUUGUAAAUAUUGGUUAUUCAAGAAGAUUGGUCAUUGGGUUCAAAAAACAUGCGUCCCUCAUGCAACAAACACCUUACUCAGAUUACUGGCUCUUUUCAUAGUCUAAAAUUGUUAUAAAUUUUGGAUUCAGGCAAUUGUACAUUUUUUAGAGAUUCAGAAGAGAUAAUAUAAAGUAUUAACCUUAUUAGGGACUAUAACCACAUUAUUAUAACAUUUUUUACGAUUACAGGUUAAUGCGCAACCACAUUAAUUAGAGACCCUUUGAUUGAAUAUACUUGCAUGAAAGUGAAACACAACAAUCUUAGUGCAUCAGUCAGCUAAAUGUGGAAGCAAGAUGCAACAUUAUACUAAAUGUUGGGACACUUCCUCUAUUGAUAUAAUGCCAGCGUGAUAUAUACACUAUGUAGUCCACAAACUUUCAAAAUCUGUUUAUUUUGAAAAAUAUUUUUGAAGAAUAACAUAUUGUGUUUGGUAUACCAAUUUGGAUAAGACUUUGAUUUAAUCAAUACUAGACCAAUAAUUUACAGUUAGCUAAGAUUUCAAAAAAUGCUUCCAUGAAGAAGUUACUAUUUUGUUUUCAACUUUUGCUACUGCUCAAAAUUAUUUAUGCAGUUUUCCCCCUAAAAUCUUGUUUGGACAAUGUAAACUAUCAAGUAAUGAAGUUACCAGUUAAGAUAGUUGUAACUUGUAAAGAAAAAUGAUUUCUGGACAUAAGUGAUGUAAUUUUAAUUAUUCAUUUUGGUGGAAAAUAUUUUCUAACUAAAAACCAGAGUAAGAAUGAGCUUCUUCCUCGGGGAAACAUUUUCAUGGCAGAACACUUUUCCCUUCAAAGUAUCAUUUCUCAUAUGGAGGGCAUUGAGAGCAAAGCUUCCAACAAAUGAGAAGAUCAGAAAUUUUGGCAUGGAACUAGUCAACUGCUCAUGCUGCAGCAGACCUGGAAUGGAUGACAUAGAUGCUGUUAUUGUUUCAAGUCAUUUUGCUAAUCAUAUAUGAAGGAAAUUCUCUAUUUUUAUGGGUUUCUCUCACUGAUGAAACACCUCCUGCUAAGCUGGUGGGAAUUGGCAGCAAAAAAUGAAGCUCAAAAGCUGUUACAGCAGGCCUUGCCUCUUAUUAUUUGCUGGAACUUAUGGAAAAAUAGGUUCUCGGAAAAAUACGGGGGUAAACAUUCUAGUGUGACUAGAGUUAAUAUUUAACAUGGACCUUAAGGUAGAGUAGAUUAGGUAGGUUUUUUAUCAUUCUUCUUACUGUGUUAUUAUUGACUAAUCAGAGCCUAUAAAAGAAUAAAAUCAGAGUACACAGCAGCUAAAGCUACAUUUUAUACAAAGAGACUAGGAAAAAAGAGGUACAAUAGAAGUCCAUAUGCCCAUAUGCAAAUAAUAUAACUAUGAAAAUAAUAGUUCUUUGGAUAUAAUCUUGAGAAAGAUAAACCAUUACUAGGCACCCCCAAGUUAAAUAACAAGAUUACUUAAAGAAAAAUUAGAAGUCUUACACUUGGGUAAUUUGCUGGCUUUCAUGAUUUCCCCUAAGAAUCGUGAUUCUAUCUCUAUAAUGAACCUUCAGAGCAACCAAAAGUGUGACACUCUCCACUGAAUAGUAUCCACGGUCUGCAUUCAUUGAAAAAUUAUUCAAUGAUAAAAAAACUAUAAAAAUAGUCAAUCACAUAGAGAAUUGGUAAUCCUAGGAUUGGUAUGAUGAAAUGAGUGUAUGGAUGCGAAAAGGAAUUGUGCAUCAUAGAAAAUGUUAAUACUCCCUGUCUCUUGUCACAAAAAGAAUGUCACCUUUCUAAAUUUAAAAACUACUAUAUAACUUCAAAAUUCCAAGUUUACCUUAAUGAAAUGAUUUAUGGCCACAUAAAUAUCUAUAGAAUGUUUUAUACCACAAGUUUCAAAAGUCCCCGAUUCUUUCUUAUACUUCGUCACCAAACAAACACCAUCUGAAAAUUGAGCAGUAUGAAGCUGUGGUUUAUUUGCCUGAAACCUUAAUGAUGUCAGAUGCAAUUUUUUUAGAAAGAGUACAACAAAAGAAUGAAUAAUGCAAUCAUGAUCACAAGGAACACAUGCACGUUAUUUUAUAUACCAAAAGACAACUCUAGGAGAGAAAAUUUUCAAGAAAUUAGGGAUGAGUCGGUGUCAGUUGACAUCAUUAAAAACAUUACUACGUUGUAUUCCACUGGGCUAAAUUACUAAAUGCCCACUCGAUAUCUGUGCAUUAGAUCUUUUUACAUAGAGUACAAAGUGGUGACGAAGAACACUUCCACUAAAGAAAGGAUUUAUGUAGAAAAAAAGGCACAAAAGAACACUUUGUUACAGGUAAUAAGCCAUAGCACCUUUUCUCAAAUUUAUGAGUACGGAAAUUAAAUCCAACACGUGAAUCCUCACUUUCAUGAAACCCAUGUCUUCUCGCACUUAAAUAAGCUUAACAAAAGGGCAAUCUACAUGGACAACAAGCAAAAGUAAAUCCAAUGACGCAACUCUCACUGUCAAUUGUCAAGAACUGCCAUGUCCUCUUGCAUUUAAGCAAGCUUAACACAAGGCAAUAGACAUGAACACACACCGUAAAAAAUAACUACAAACAAAUUUUAGUCACUCAUCACUUCGAUUGGCUAAACGAUUGUUCCUCAAUUAGUGCCCUGCACGUGCUGACAAGAUAUUGUCGGAUAUCAACCACCUCCUUAAUACAGAAUUUCCUCACAUACAAUGGCUUCACAACUGGAUUGAUCUACUCAGUUUGGUGGAAAAAUGCAGACAUGAAGACAAAAUCUGGGAGGUAAGAUGGUUGAAGCCUCCUAACAAUAUUUUAAAGCUGAACACUGAUGGUACUGCACUCCUAAAUUACAACCAAGUUGAAACGAAAUGCAUUAACACUGAACAUCAUGAACGACUCCACCAACAAGAAAUUAACUUAUCACCAAAGAUCAUUAACAAACUCCACAUAUAAGAAAUAAACCCCUUUAAGUUUUAAGGAUGAGAAUGAAAGACAGCUGAAAUGUAAGACAAAGGAAGAUAACAAUGGCAUCAGUUGAGUGCACCUAUUAACUAAUUCUCCUCUAAAAGAUUUGGAGACCUGAUCCGGUAAAAUUAUUAGUGACCCUUUCCAAAACUAGAUCAUGAGCAUCCAGAGAAGCAGCCACGGGUAAACUUCUUCAAUUAAAUAAAAAAUGAUUAUAGCUAUAUGCUUCAACAAAGUGGCAGAGAGAGCUACAACUUAGACAUUAGCCAUAAGAAUUCAUCAUACACAAAGCAUAAAAUAUUGGAUUCUGCAGAUCUAGUGCAUAAAUAUCAUAAUGCAACUUAAAAUCUAAUUCAGUGAGAUUUAACAUGAAGGGAACUAAGAUUAACUUCUUUUGCUACUAAGAUUUAUUGAACAGAACCCGGAGUGCACUAUUCCAGCCAAUAACAUUUUUAAACAUUAGACAAAACAAUUAAAGAAAGUCCAUGUUAUACUUCGAAUCAGGAAAUGGUUGCUUAGCCCAAUCUAUGUAAAAUUUCAGUCUAUUAGCCUCGUAAAGAUUAAUAUUAUCUACCAUUUAUUAGCACGAAAGCGAUGCAGCAAAGAUAUACUCAAACUCUAACAACCAACUUACUCGAGCCAAGUUAAAGGAACUUUUGUUGCCUUAUUUCCUUGUGUAUCAACAUAAAUCAACAAAUAUCGUAUCAAAAACACAAGAAUACCAAAACCCUAAAGCUAAAUGUGUAACCAUACGCAAACAAUAAACCCAGAUGCCAUAAUCUUAGACUUUUAAAGAUAGAAAUUUUUACCUAAUAAACCCAGAUUCCAACAAAACCCUUUCAAUGUGUUGAAGCUUUAAGUGUCAUGACUCAAGGCUAGCCCCUAGACGUAACACGGCGUACUUGACCCCGAAGGGGUCUCAUACAAGCCUCUAGCAUCAUCAUUACACAAGACAUAGAAAAUAAUGCGGAAAAAUUUAAAACUUUUACAAUAGAAGUCAACCUUCUUCAUAUAAGGAAAAUAGGAACUAGACAUUGUCUCAAUCACCAUCUAAACAUAAGAGUACAACUAGGGUCAAAGCCCUUUACAUUAAUAAGUCUCCAAAAUAGGAAAUACAAUAUAGUCUAAAAACAUAGGAAGUACACUAGAGACUAGAAUCAAUAGCAACUUGUCCUCGAACUUGAGGACUCACCAAGCCGGGGGAAUAGUCGAUCCAAGCUUCACCUUCAAGGAAGUAGUAAGUAUCAACGACCGGAACCUACACUCAUAGUGAAGUAGAAGGAAGAUGGGGUUAUCACAUAAUAUGUACUAAGUAUGGAAACAUUCAUAAAAACCUUAAAACAUGAUAAAAAGGACAUUUUAUUUGAAAGAAUGCAUUUAUGAUGUUUGGAAACCAACAUACAUCUUCAAUGUCAAAGACAAGCCAAACAUCACAUUUAUUCUCAUUACAUGGUAAAGUCAUUACCUUAGUAACCCCUAAGGAACACUUGUGUAAUGUAUGGUUGGCAUCCCAUAAUACCAACCAUACUAAGCACCCCCUUGAAGCUACUUUAGCCAUGCACAUCAUCUUUAGACCUAAUCAAAAUCAUUAGUCACAAUUGAAGAAUUAGUCAUGUACAUUAAUUGAAUACAAGGAAAGCCAUUCAUAACAACUAUCCAUCCAAUACACAUGCAUACAUUUGAAUAACAUCAUAACAUAAAGGAACCAUCCUACAAGAUCCUACUAAGCCUACUUGUGCAAUGUGGAAGUGAAGUCCCAUACCCCCACUCCUACUUAGUAAGCUCACCAAGAAGUUAUAGUAUAGUUCACGUUCCAUUCAUUAUCUUCAUUAUUAUAUGGAAGAGUUGCCAUAACCAACAUAGACCAUGUGAGCUACAUGAAAUCCGGUGUCUAAAACCCCACACCGAAAGAAGGUAUCCUACUUGCCUAAGGUAGAACUAAAUAUAUAGCUAUAAGGUGGAUCCACUACCUAAAGACCUAUGUGGGAACAUAGUUUGUGGGAUAGGGAGAUUGCUUUUAGAAACCAUACCUCUUGCAUUAACGGAGGAGUUCCCAUCUUAUGAGUUCACAUGGAUGACCCAACCUCUUGCAUUAACGGAGGGGUCUUUACCUAAUUAUCCAUAACCACUCGGUGCUAAGCAUUAUUUCCCCAAAACUAUACAUUAUUAGUCUUUGAAUAGUAUCUACAUGUGUGAAGGAAUACUUUGUCUUUCGUUCAAUACAAUUCAUCAAAAUAGCUCAUAGAUUCAUUAAAGGUGAGAAUGUACUUUCAACUUUAGAAUCAUAAUUAGUAUGUGAGAAUAACUUUCACACCAAGAUCAUGUGUUUUCAUGGGAAUGGACUUUCAAUCAACACAAUAUGAUCAUCAAUUUCAUGCAUAACAAUGUGUAAAUGUGCAUAUGAGAACUAUACUUUCAAUUAACACUAUUAAUACAUCAAAAUCAUGUUUAUGCAUGGAGUGUGGGUGUGUAAUUGUCCUUGCAAUGACAUAAUCAACAACACUAUCAUCCUAGACACUUCAUUCAUAAUUAAGUGCAAAGGUAAGGGAAGAACUACCUUUCAAAAAUACCAUUCUUUACAGAUUAGUCAUAUGAGAUUUACUUUCUAAAUGAAUCAAUAGUUUAUACAAAUCUUGCAUUCAUAUGCACAAACCCUAGCAAUUUGCCUCUUUUCAAGGUCAUGAAUCAUGCCUCACAAUUACACCUAAAUAUACUAUAAUAUGUAUGAAUAAAACAAGAUUCAUUAACUAAAUUCACAUAGAGACAAUUCAUAAUCAUCAUUUUGCAUCAAUACACCCAUCACAAUACUUGAAAUUGGGGUCAUGGGGGUGUUCAUGGGUUCAAGAGGAAUUUUAUGAUGAAAAUCACCAUUAAACAUCAAAUCAUUCAUAAUAUAAUGCAAUUAACAUAAUAAAAUCAUUUUUAGGAUGAACCCAUGGUUGGAAUAGAAACCCUAGUUUUUUUUAACAAUGUAUCAAUUUCGAAAUCAGGAGGUGAAGGGCUUCAUGGAGAAAAGUGUUCCAUGAAUCAAAGUUCCCAUACCUUUAUUGAUAUUUUUCCACGAAAUUGGAGUGAAAAUCUUGGAGCUUGAACCCUAAUCUUGAGCUUCUUCUUUGUUCUUCAAUGGAGUUUAGAGAGAGAAUGUUUUGAGAGGGAAGUGGGUUUGAUUUUGAGUUUGUGAGUUAUGAGAGUUAAAAGACUUGUUUUAAUACUUAAUAAUACUUUAAUAUAACUAUAAAUGACCGUUUUUACCUUUAUUAAGUUAAUUAGUAAAUUACUAACCUACCCCCGCAUGGCUAACUUAAGGCAGCCUUCACAGGCCCCAUCCACGAGUCCCCGACCACGGGGUGUGGUUUGAACCACGGACCGUACUGGUCAUUCAUGGUUUGGGUCUGAGGCUGGCCUUUUUGUCCUUGGUCCAUGACCCAUCCACGACUCCCAUCUACGGGGCGUGGUAUGGUCUACGGACAAUACUGUUCCUACACGGUUUGGAAUAGAUACUAGGGAGUUUAGGGGGGAGUUUUGGUUAGGCUAAGUGUUGACUCACGACUCCCAUCUACGGGGCGUGAGUCAACCUACGACUCGUAGGUUGAGUCUCAUGGUCCAAGCUGUUUUGGACAGCUUUUUGGACCUUCCUCAUGGACCCAUGGGGGGGCCCUAGGGAGAUUCAUGCCUUGAUGUUUAGGCACUAGAAACCUAGUACUAGGUUAGUAAGUUCAUUUUAGGACUUUAACCGUACGUUUAGACUUCAUUAGGCUACUACACUACACGUUAGGCUCUAGCUUAGGUCAUUAGAUAUACGGGGUGUUACAUUAUCUCCCCCUUGGGAACAUUCGUCCCCGAAUGGUGACCAAGACACCAAACUAAGUUAGAAACCUUAGACUAACAGCCCAUUAUGCAUGAAUCAUUAAAAUAUGCAAAACUCACAAAUGCACUAUUCACAACUUGCACCUUUCAAAAGGAGGAAACUUCAAUUCCUUUUUUCACAACAUGGCCAAAGCAAUACAAGAGAGUAGGAACUACUUCUACUAACUCAAUAUGUAAGAAACUCAUUAAUUCACAUAAGCAUGGGAGGAACUAAUUUCUCCAAAUCGAUUAAGCUCAACACAACACUAUAGAGCCAAUGUGUCAUCUCAUCAACACAACAUUAAGCAUGUUCAUCAUUUCAUCUCAUGGGUCAAAAUGCAAUCAUCACACAAAAAUGCAAAUCACCAUGAGAAAACAUAGGCAUCAUGAAAUCUCAAUAUAUAUUAAAACAUGAAUUCUCACAAGAACAUGCACAACAUAGGGAAAUCAUGGGAAAUCAUACAACACACAUGACUUCCAAAACACUAAACUUAAGAGAAACUAGUUACUUCAAGCUUGAAUAGGAGUAGAAGGAAAAAGAUGAGGGUAUCGGGACAUCAUAUCGGCCUCGGCUUCCUAAGUAGCACCCUCAACUAAAUGAUUCCUCCAAAGAACCUUAACGGAAGAUACUUCCUUAUUUCGCAACUUCUUCACUUGCCGGUCUAAAAUCUCAUCUGGGACCUCUUCAUUAGAAAGGUUCUCAUCAACUCCUAAACCUUCUAAAGGAAGGAUGGAAACCGGAUCACCAAUACACUUUUUGAGCAUAGAGACAUGAAACACCGGGUGAAUCGGGGCCAACUCAUUUGGCAAGUCCACCUCAUAAGCAACUUUCCCAAUACGCUUCAAGACUUGGUAUAGGCCCACAUACCGGGGACUAAGUUUCCCCUUCUUGCCAAACCUCAUCACACCUUUCAUAGGUGAGAUUUUCAAGUAGACCCUAUCACCAACCUCAAAUUCAAGAUCUUUUCUUCUAUUGUCGGCAUAGGACUUUUGCCGACUUUGGGCCGUCUUCAACCUCUCUUUAAUGAGUCAAACUUUCUCAAUGGCUUCAUAGACUAGUUCGGGAUCAAUUAGAGCAAACUCACCUACUUCAAACCACCCAACCGGGGAUCUACACCUUCUUCCAUAUCGUGCUUCAAACGGAGCCAUAACAAUGGUGGAGUGGUAACUAUUGUUGUAGGCAAAUUAUAUCAAAGGAAGAUGAUCAUCCCAAUUACCCUUGAAAUCGAUCAUACAUGCCCUCAACAUGUCUUCUAAGGUUUGAAUGGUGCGUUCGGCUUGACCAUCCGUUUGAGAGUGGAAAGCGGUACUAAGUUUAACAUUUGUACCAAGCCCUUGUUGGAAUGCUUUCCAAAAAUGUGAAGUAAAUUGAGCACCUCUAUCCGAUAUGAUAGACAAAGGGGCCCCAUGAAACUUCACUACCUCUUUGAUGUACAAAUUAGCAUAGUCUUCCACCGAAAAAGUAACCUUGACGGGAAUGAAGUGGGUUGUUUUUGUCAUCCUGUCAACAAUGACCCAAAUAGAAUCAUGUUGCUUUCGAGUACGAGGCAAGCCCACAACAAAAUCCAUAUUCACCCCCUCCCACUUCCAAGUUGGAAUAUGCAUAUCUUGGAGCAAACCUCCCGGUUUCAUGUGUUCGACCUUGACUUGUUGACAAUUCGGGCACUUGGACACAAACCCGCUAUAUCCUUCUUCAUACCAUUCCACCAAUAGACUUCCUGUAGGUCAUGGUACAUUUUGGUGGCUCCCAAAUGAAUAGAAUAUCGAGAACCAUGAGCCUCUUCAAGAAUUUUCUCCCUCAAACCAUCAACAUCCGGCACUCAAAAUCUACCUUGGUACCUAAGCACCCCAUCUACCCCUUGGGAGAAAACCUCAAUGGACUUGUUUAGAAAUGAUUCUUUCAAUUCCAUCAAAAUAGGAUCCAGGUGUUGCUUAGACUUCACAUCAACUACAAAGGAUGAUUCGGAACUAUGAUGAACCACAACUCCACCCUUGGUGGAAUCCACUAGUUGGCACCAAACCGGGACAACAUAUUGUCACGACCCGGGGUUACCCCCUAGAAGUAACACGGUGUACUUGACCGCCGAAGGGGUCUCGUACAAGCCCUUAGCAUAAUCAUCACAAAAAGAAAUUGAAUAAUGCGGAAAAAUUUAAACUUUUUCUUUACAAUCGAAGUCAUUUUAUAAAUCAAACUGGAGUCUAGACAUUGUCUCAUUUGACCAUCUAAUACAAUCGAAUAGGGACAAUAGCCCUUACAAUAGUUCUAAAUGGAAAUACUAAAAGAAACUCAAAGUAAACUACUUUUCCUCGAAACUUGAGGACUCACCAACUAAACUUGGGAAACUAACUAAUCCAAGCUUGAACCAAGAAUACCACCACCAAGGACCAAUCCCUACAUUGUAGAAAACAUAGAAAUAUGGGUUAGCACAAAAUGUACUAAGUAUGGUAGCCAUGCAUAAGAACAUUUAAAACAUGCUGCAAUGCAUAGAUAGGAUCCCAUAACCCUAUCUACACUAAGUAUUACUUCUAGGCCACCAUGAUCAUGCAUAACAUACCUUGACCUUAUUCAUAGCCAACAUUCAUAAACAAGGAGACAUUCAUGCUCAUAUCUUAUAAUAAAUAAAGUCACUCAUAGCAACAAUCCAUAUCAUGCAUACAUAAUUCAUAUAUCUUCAUAGCAUAAGGAAACCACAUUAUAAUCCAUUUAUAAUUCUACUUGUGCAAUGUACAAGUAAAGUCCCAUAGCCCCACUCACACAAAUUAAAUCUCAUUAGGAAGUCAUUAGUAUAGUCCAUGUUCAUAUUCAUAAUAAAGCAUACAUUCAUAAUCAUCAUAUCAUAGAAGAGACAUACCAUGCCCACUCUCAAAAUCCAUACUAAGUAGAACUUCUGGAGGAACCAUAGUACCUAACUCAUGUUCUUAUCAUAUAGGGAAAUAUAGCCUUAACCAACAUAGACCAUGUUGAGCUACAUGGAAUCCGGUGUCCUCUAACCCCACACUGAAAGAAGGUGUCCUACUUGCCUAAGGUAGAACUAACAUAUUUAGCUUUUAGGUGGAUCCACUAGAUAAAGACCUAUGUGGGUAGAUAGUUAUGGGAUAUGGAUAUUGCUUCUAGAAAUCCCACAUAUUUCAUUAAUGGGAGAGCUUCCAUAUCAUGAGAUUCCUUUGGAUGACCCGGCCUAUUGCAUCGAUGGGAGGGCCUUCACCUCAUUUUCCAUAUCCACUCGGUGCUAAGCAUUAUUUCCCAAGAUUUACAUAAUUAAUUCUUUAGUUGUUUUUACAUGUUUGAAUGAGUAUCUUACCCUUCAUUCAACACAACUAAUAACAUAGCUCGUAGAUUCAAUUAGGUGAGAAUGUCCUUUCAACCUUAGAGUCAUCAAUAUGUGAGUAAACCUUUCACAUCAUAUUGAUAGUGUGUUAAUGAGAAUAUCCUUUCAUUCAAAACAACCAUACCAUAUAGUCUUAACAUAUCAUACAUAGUCAUAACAUGUCAUACAUAUUCACAACAUCUUGGUCAUGUAUAUUUCAUGCAUAAUAGUAUGUAAUGGUGCAUAUGAGAAUUAGCCUUUCAGUUGACACCAUAGACACAUUAUAAUUUUGUUUAUGCAUGGAGUGUAUGUGUGUGUAAUUGUCCUCACAAUGACACAACAACAACAACAUUAUCAUCAUAGACACUUCCCUCUCAAAGUCUUCAUAACAUGUACAUAAUAUCACAAUCAUGCAUAAUUCACAUCUAUUGCAUUCAAGGAUCAUAGACCAUGUAAAUCAACACAUCUAAAAUUCAUUAUAAUAUAUAUGGAUAUAUUCAUCAUUUAAGUAGUUCAUUCAUGGCAUGUAAAGGAUAACAUACGCAUAUUGAGGUCAUGUGGGUAUUGUCCUUCCACAAUAGUACCAUAUACAAUUCAACAUGCUCAAUAAGUAUACACCUCCACCUUUCAAGUGGAUCAAUAGCUCAUAUACAAUAACUAUUCAACAUGUAAUUACCUACAUGCUUUUCCCUUCAAGUCUUGGGAUCAAGAUCAACCUUAACUUUUAGAAUUACCCCAUUAUAUAAAUGGAUAUCAUAAUUAAACAACAUAAUCAAUGUGAACAUAAUCAAGUUAAUUCAUGUAUUUAAGCCUUCAUAAGAGAUUCAUAUCUAGUGAUCUAGUCUAAGGCCAUUGACCAAGAAGUUCAUCAAUCUUAGAAGAUCACAUUGAAUACCUCAAUUUGCCUCUUUCAUGACAUAACCCUAGGCUAUAUCAAUUUCACCUUGGAACCUUAGGUUAAUCAAUAAUACAAAUAAAAUCAUACUUAGAUCAUGUAAUUACAUCCUAGUUCACUCACAUCAAUUCAAUUGAUCACAACAAGACCAUUUACAUGUUUCUAGAAUGAAUUACCCAGUUAAGGUCGCAAUUUUGCAAUCUAAGGGAUCCAUGGGUUCUUGGGGGAAUGUUUCCAAACUUUAUCCAUAAAUCAUCAAUUCAAUCACCCCUCAACCUAAUCCAACCAUAAAAAUCAUUUUGGAAGAAACCCAUAUCAUUCGACCAAACCCUUGAAAUUGGGGAAAAUUUUGAAGUUUUGAAGUCAAGUUUUGAAGGAACUCUUUGGGGGGAAUAUAUCCAAAGAUGAAAACUACCAUACCUUGCUUAUGAAUCCUUGAAGAAUUGAUUAUUUUGUCCAGCCCAAGCUUCAAUUAUUCUCUUCUACUUCUUGGGUUUCUAAAGAGAGAAUUUUCGGGAGGAAGAUUAACUUUUUGAUUUGAAGUGGGUCUUUUUGAAAGUGAUUUAUUUUUUGGAUAUUUUAGUAUAAAAUCCCUUAUAUAUUCAUUUAGAAAUAAUAUAAAAUAUACCCACUUUCUAAUUUAACUUAAAAAUAAUAUUUACGAAAACGCCCUUGCACAUAUGGACUUAGCCAAAAAAAAACUAAGGAAAUGUUUAAGGAAGCAUUUAAGGUCCUUGAAGUGGUCCACUAGCCUUGGACCCUCCCUUGAACUUUGCCUUUGGAUUUUUAAAGCUAAGGCAUAUCUAUGGGAGUAUUCAAAUGGCAUAUUUCUACCAUAUAUAUAUUUAUUUAAAAAUAAUAUAGACUAUACACAUUUAAUUUGGACUAAAAAAGAAAUUAAGAAAUUACCCCUUUUUAUGCCUCCCUAGGAUUGCCCAAAUAAAACUAAGGCAAUUACCAAGGGAGCUUUUAAGGCCCUUGAAUUGAUGUACCUUCCUUAAACCCUCCCUUGGACUUGUCUUUAGAUUUUUUAAAGCUAAGGGAUAAGUCUACAAGGGAGUACACGGCAGUGGGCCCCCACUUGCACACGUGCACUGCCCAUGUGUUAAGGUAGCCCCCACGUGUGGUGAUCCCUCCACUUGGUCCUUAAACCCUCACGUGGGUUGCCUUACAAAAACUAAGGCAUUGGUUCAAGGAAGCUUCUAAGGGUGGUGAAAGCUUUUACCUUCCUUGAACCCUCUCUUGAAAAUAUACUUCGUCAAAAUUGGCUAAGGCAUUGGUUCAAGGAAGCUUCUAAGGGUGGUGAAAGCUUUUACCUUCCUUGAACCCUCCCUUAAACUUAUACUUAGCCGAAUUUUUGGACCCUUUUAUAUCUCCAAUUUAUACAUAAACUUAUAAGGUUCAUACGUUAGGCUCUAGUUUCACCUAUAAAUUUUUCGGGGGUUACAUUAUCUCCCCAUUGGGAACAUUCGUCCUCGAAUGACGAUUUAGACACCUUACGGAAUUUAAAGACUCAUGAUUAGCAGCCCAACAAGCAUAUAAUAUCAAAAUAAUACGUCACUUAAAGGAGGAAACUUCAACUCCAUUUCAACAUAGUCAAUUUAAACAAACCGAAGUAGGAACUACAUCUAUCAAUCCUAUAUGCAUGAAAUUCUCAUAAUUAGUUAUAUUCAAGGAGGAACUAUCAUCCCCUAGUCAUAACAUGCUCAACAUACUCUCAUGGAGCUCAUAUGCAAAUUCUCAUUUUCAAAUAGCAUUUAUUCAAGGAGGAAUCUCUCAACUCCAAACUAAAGCAUGCUCAUGUAUUCUUCUCAUGAUGUACAAUAGGUAACUCAUAGUCAAUGCACCACAACAUGAGGAAAGCAAUUUACUUAAACUCAUCUUCUUCUAAAAACACAAGUUUUCACAAAUAUGCACAAAACUCAUCAAUUCGCAUAAACAAGGGAGGAACGAUCUUCUCCAACUUAAAACAAGUUUAACACCUCAAUAUGAAGUUAACAUGUCAUAACAUAAAGAACUCUCCUAAGAACGUUUAUCAAUUUUCAUCAUGAAGUCAAGUAUGCAACAUUAUAAUAUAAUAAACAAACUAGGAGAAAAUCUCAACUCCAUCUCAAACGUACUCCAUGCAACACAAGAAAGUAGGAACUACAUCUACAAACCCAUUUUGCAUGAAAACUUCAACAUUUCUCAUUUAUAUUGGAGGAAUUACCUUCUCCAACUCAAAACAUACUAAUCAUAACACCUUGAAGCCAAUUAUGCAAUUACUUCUAAAAAAGCACAUUUAGGCUUUUUCAACCUUUCACCUCAUGAAUCAUAUAGGCAACACUUACUAAAUGCAUAUCAACAUGACGAAAAAAAGUCAUAAAAUCUCAUUUUUUCCCCUUAAACAUGAAUUCUCAAAAGCAUGCAUAUCGUAAGGAGACCAUGUAAACACAUAAAUCACACAUGACUCCCAAAUCAUAAAAUAAGCCCAACUAGGAACUCUUGGUCUCAAGCUAGAAUAGGAAUAGAAGAAAGAGAUGAGGAUAUAGGGAUCCCAAUAAUCAUGCUUUCUAAGCACAUCAUCUCCCCCUUGGGAGGAAAGCCUUUAUUAAAGUCCUCAAGUAACACUUCGUUCAAGCAAUCGCAAAGACAUGACCAAACUCACCUUUGCUAUCUUCGGAAAAGUUAAUGGUUUCAACAACUUGUAAUAUCACCCUCUCAUGACAAAACUAGGUACCAAAUCCUAAAAGGAGAUAUUUGUACUAAAUCGGCAUCUUACUCAAUGGGUGAUAACUAAUGCACAUUUGAAGAGACCCAUAUUAUUUCUAACCACCAAUAUCGGAGAACCCCAUAAAGAGAUACUUCAUUAAUUAUCAAUUCCCUUAGUUGCUCCUUCAACUCUUUUGACCCCUUUGGAACCAUUCUAUAAUGAGAAAAUGGAGAAAAGUUGCAUAUCCGGGCUAAGGUCAAUACCAACUAAGACUCUAUUUCUCUCUUGGGAGGAAUACUGGCAAACCAUCGGGGAAAACUUCUGGAAACUCAUUCACUACCGGCACCGACUCUAGAGGAGGGGUUUUGAAUUCAACAUCUUUCACCCUAGUUAUAGGCUCAUAAGGAAAUUGGGACCUAACCAUCCGGGUCCUAUCAUCAAUAAACAUACCAUGCAUGCAACCCAUCCAUACCAAGAGUUACCUCAAAAACCUAAUAUGUCAAGUUCUACCAAGUCGAUAAGAGUAACUCUAGGGGACAAGGUAAUGGGGAUCUUCCAUAAACCCAUUUUCUAACUUUAAAUCUUUAACCGGGGUAAAAGCCGAAAAAUGUUCUAAUAACUCGUCGGGGGAAACAUUAAACCUCAUAGCCUCAAAAGGCACCAUACAAGAUAAGGUAGUACCGGAAUACCACAUAACACUUACACUUACAUGAAAUUACCAACAUAUCGGUACCUUCAUUCAGAGAGUCUUCUUAGUCACCUCUAGUAGCAUCCUUUACUAAAACCCUUACUAGGACAUCACUCAUAAUCUCAUAUGAGUCUACCAAACUGGGUCUAAAGUCUUCAAACUUACUAUACCUCAUAAGGUGAAAAUUCAAGUCAACCUAAAUCAUGACAUGGAGAACACUCACCAACCUUGUUAUCUAAGGACUUCAUCUCCCCCUUAGGAGCAAGCCUAUAUAACCUCUUCUAAGCAUCACUUCUUUUUAUUCUAAGGUCGGAGCAAGUCAUCACUUAAACCUUCACACUCAUCACCCAAGAUGAUUCCAAACCAAGGUGAAUUCCACGUCUACCCUUCUUAGAUGAGUCUACUCACUUCACACAUCUAGGUAUUUCCAAAAUACCCUAUUCGUCAAAUCUUUCAACAUACUUCAAAUCUCAUUAUAACUUUUUACCAACAUCACCCAUAACCAUAGAGCAAUCAAUCUUUACCAAAGGAUUGCAUCUAAAUCCACCAUAUCAAGUCCUACCUAGUCAUAUUGUCACAAUUGACAUCACCACAAACCUUUUCUCCCUCAAUCUAUGUAGCAUUUACCCUUUUUGAGUAGUCACAUCUUGAAGACCAUCGGAUAAGGGAUAAGAGAGAGAUCUUAUAGAGUUCGGUUCUAUGGCACGAUUCAAGAGUAAUGAAGAAGUGAAAUCCUAAGCAUCUUAUAGCCUCUCAUUCAUCAGUGUGGCGCGCUUUACACCCAUGAACAAGACUCCACUUGACGUGGUCUAUGAGACAUCAACCUUAAAUUAUCCCAAAAUCUUAUGCUCUGAUACCAAGUUUGUCACAACCCGGAGCUACCCCUAGGAGUGACACGGCGUACUUGACCCCGAAGGGGUCUCAUACAAGCCCUUAACAUAUCAUCAUUACAUAAGACAUAGAAUAAUGCGGAAAAAUUAAAACCUUUACAUUAGAAGUUCAACUUCCUUCAUAUAUGUAAAAUAGGAAUCUAGACUUGUCUCAUUACACCAUCUAAACAUAGGAAUAUGAAAGUUGGGACUUAGCCCUUACAUCAAUAGAAAGUCUUAUCAAAGAAAGUACAACAUAGUCUUUAACAAAGAAAGUAAGCUAGAACUAGAAUAAAUAGCAUCUCAUCCUCGGACAUGAGGACUCACCAAAACUUGGAGGUAGCAACCCAAGUUUCUUGAAGAAUGGACUAAAUACAACUCAACAGCCCGAACCUACACUCAUAGGAGAUGUAGAAGAGAAUGGGUUAGUACAAAAGCACUAUAGAAAUAUGGGUUAGCACAAAAUGUACUAAGUAUGGUAGUCAUGCAUAAGAACAUUUAAAACAUGCUUAAAAGGGACAAUUUAUUUGAAACCAUGCUAUAUGCCAUUUUUGAACAUCAUCUUUGAAAUAGUUAGAGAAUGUAGCUCAUAAGACAAACCAUACACACUUCAUCAUAACAUAGAGGAUAUCAUAAUAGUCACAAGUAUAGUCACCAACACAACAUAAUGCAUACUCCAAUCUUCACAAGACGUAGUUCACAUAUAUGAUUCAAUGCCAAGAUCAUAUCAUCAUAAUAAAGCCAUCACAUAAGUAACCUUGAGCUCUACUUGUGCAAUGCAUAUAUAUGAUCCCAUAAUCCUAUCUACACUAAGUAUUACUUCUAGGCCACCAUGAUCAUGCAUAACAUAACUUGACCUUAUUCAUAGCCAACAUUCAUAAACAAGGAGACAUUCAUGCUCAUUUCUUAUAAUAAGUAAAGUCACUCAUAGCAACAAUCCAUAUCAUGCAUGCAUAAUUCAUAUAUCUUCAUAGUAUAAGGAAACAACACUAUAACCCCUUUAUAAUUCUACUUGUGCAAUGUACAAGUGAAGUCCCAUACCCCUACUCACACUAAGUAAAGCUCAUUAAGAAAUCAUUAGUGUAGUCCAUGUUCAUAUUCAUAAUAAAGCAUAUAUUCAUAAUCAUCAUAUCAUAGGAGAGACAUACCUUGCCCACUCUCAAAAUCUACUUGUGCAAUGCAUGAAUAAAGUCCCAUACCCCCAUACAUACUAAGUAGAACUUCUGGAGGAACCACAGUACCUAACUCAUGUUCUCUUCAUAAUUCAUAUUCUUAUCAUAUAGGGAAAUAUAGCCUUAACUGACAUAGACCAUGUUGAGCUACAUGGAAUCCGGUGUCGCAUAACCCUACACCGAAAGAAGGCCUCCUACUUGCCUAAGGUAGAACUAACAUAUUUAGCUUUUAGGUGGAUCCACUAGCUAAAUACUUAUGUGGGCACAUAGUUAUGGGAUAGGGAGAUUUCUUCUAGAAACCCCGCCUAUUUCAUUAACGGGAGAGCUUCCAUCUCAUGAGAUUCCUUUGGAUGACCCGGCCUAUCACAUUGACGGGAGGGCCUUUACCUUAUUUUCCAUAUCCACUCGGUGCUAAGCAUUAUUUCCCAAGAUUUACAUAAUUAAUUUUUUAGUUGUGUUUACAUGUUUGAAGGAAUAUCUUACCCUUCAUUCAACACAACUCAUAACAUAGCUCAUAGAUUCAAUUAGGUGAGAAUGUCCUUUCAACCUUAGAAUUAUCAAUAUGUGAGUAAACCUUUCACAUCCUAUUCAUAGUGUAUUAAUGAGAAUAGCCUUUCAUUCAACACAACCAUACCAUAUAGUCUUAACAUAUCAUACAUAGUCAUAACAUGUCAUACAUAUUAAUAACAUCAUGGUCAUGUAUAUUUCAUGCAUAAUAGUAUGUAAAGGUACUUAUGAGAAUUAGCGUUUCAGUUUACACCAUAGACACAUCAUAAUUUUGUUUAUGCAUGGAGUGUAUGUGUGUGUGUAAUUGUCCUCACAAUGACACAACACCAACAUUAUCAUCAUAGACACUUCCUUCUCAAAGUGUUCAUAAUAUGUACAUAAUAUCACAAUCGUGCAUAAUUCACAUAUAUUGCAUUCAAGGAUCAUAGACCAUGUAAAUCAAUACAUCUAAAUCACAUUAUAAUAGACAUGGAUAUAUUCAUCAUUCAAGUAGUUCAUUCAUGGCAUGUAUAGGAUCACAUACUCAUAUUGAAGGUCAUGUGGGUAGAGUCCUUCCACAAUAGUACCAUAUACAAUUCAACAUGCUCAAUAAGUAAACACCUCCACCUUUCAUAUCUAGGUGAUCUAGUCUAAGGCCAUUGACCAAGAAGUUCAUCAAUCUUAGAAGAUCACAUCUAACAUUACUAGAAAUUAGACCUACGACAACGAUACCUAUGGCAACAGUUGUCGAUCGGUUGCCAUAGAACUGAUAUAGCAAUGGUUCCAUGUGUUGCAUAAGGUCCAUGACUCUAUUUACACAUUGUAUCUAUCAUACCGUUGCAAUAACAUUGGAACCAUCGCCAUAGAUUGGUGUAGUGCAACAAAUUUCGACAACCGUUGCAGUAGAUUGGUAUUGAUAACUGUUUGUAUUUCUAUUGCUAUGGUUGUUAUUUCCCUCUUUAUUUUCCCCCAAAUUUCACUAUACCGCCGAAACGGAUCUACAAAAAUUUUCUAGAAGUUAUAAUUUUUUCUUCUCCCAAAAUAAUAAAACACACAGUAAGAAAAACCAUCAUCUAAAACUAAAUUGCAGGUCUCAAAAUCAUUAAGAACUCGCAGGACUCAAAAUCGCUGGGCAGAAUCGUCUUUCGUUCAGCAAAGAGACCUUCAGUUUACUGCUCCAAGUCGUCGUUGUCGCUGAUUUUCACUGUUCCAAUCUCUUCUUCAGUUCACUGUGACUUUCACUACUCUAAGCCCUAAAAUAUUUGGUGUGUGUUUAUUCUGAAAUAGCUUUAAUAGCUAGCAGCCACAUCAAAUUGAAUUCAUAAUACUUAAGGAACAUCUCAUUGUGGCACUACAUGCUAACAGAAACAUAAUGCAACAUUCGUACCAAAAUGAAUAUUAAUCAUCUUGAUCCAGGUAUAAUACUUGAUGCUAACAUGCUAAGAUUUCAUGCUCGUUUGCCCGGAGAUGUGGUUGCUUUACUAAUCAAUCGUCUGUCUGUUGUAGUAACAAUCAAGGUCAAUACUUUUCUCUUCUUCCUCCUCCUCUUCUUCUUAUUCUUCUCUCUCUGUUCAUUUUUUUUCUUAUACUCAAUUUCAAGCAACUGAGUGAUUAUAAUUCGAGUCCGUGUAUAGAAAGUUUAAAUCUAUAUACAAACACAUACUCUUCUAUAAAACUAACCACACCAUAUUCAAAUAAUAAUAAUAUGCUACUGAAAGGAGGUAGUGCUCAACAACAACCUCCUAAUCAUUAUUAUCCAUUUAGCUACCUGUAUGGAAUUGGCAACAGUCCUUACUACAUGAUGAACACUAGUAAUAACACAGUGGUAAAUUCAAACCUUUACAAAUAUGGGAUAAGACGGGCUAUUCCCCGAGGUUUUUCUAGUCAUGUUGUGGAGUCAAGGGUUUUCGAUUCAGUGCCAAUUGUUGUCAAGUGGCACAAAAGCGGUUCAGGAUGUUGAGUAAAUAUUAUCUCUAUUAUCUUGUGUUUGCACUUCAUUUGUAUUUUCUUGUACAAUGUCAGUAUUAUCUUGUGUUUGCACUCCAUUUGUAUUUGCUUGCACAUUGUCAAUGGUUGUGGGACUUGUUGUUUAGAACAUUCUUCAUUCCUCGCCCUCCAUAAGUGGUAUAUAAUUGUCGUUGUGAUUAUCCAUAGAAAUGUUUUGCUAAUAGUGUAUUUUCAAUGAUCAGCCCCAUUAUCUUCAUCCAGUUCCUGCUACACAUGUGUUUAUGAUCACAUAUAGACACAUAUUGCCUCUUAAGAAAGUCGUAGGUAUACUCUCUUAAUUUCCUAAGGCUUUCGAUUGUCAUUGUUGUUACUGUCUAGGUGACCAUAGUGGUAAUAUCAUGGACUUCAUUUUGUCUUGCUUCAUCUUAUUUCUAUCAAUAUUUCAUGUCUUUUUGGUCAUUUACACUUAUGUGCUAUUGAAUUUUUUGGCUUAAAUGAUCUGUUUGUGAAGAGAUGGGACUGAGAUAAUGUUUUUGUAUAUAUAUAUGAGUAUAUAUAUUUAUAUAUGGUGCUCGAGAUAAAGUUGUCGGUCGUAGAUGCUUGAUUUCAACAUCUCCUUCCCCUGCAUUUGUUUUUUUAUACUAAGCAGUUACAAGUACGUAGCACUAUACACAUUAUAAACAUCUUCUUCCCUUCAAAACAGAGAAUUUAAGUUCAAAUUACCAAUAAUAAUAAAGAAACCACAACUUUCCCUGCUGAUGAACUCUAUUACAGCAGCAAACUUCUUCCCAUUCUCAAAAAAUUACCUCAAACGCCCUUUGAAGAAGAAAAUAGAUUUUUGCAUACUUUUCUUUUCUUUUCUUUUUACAGACAUUGCAUCAAUAGAUAUGUAUAAUGUUAUGUGUGUGGUAGUUAGUCCAAACACACCCAAAAUUAUUUUAGAAAUAUAUUGUUUAGGUUUUAUUAUUGUGGAGAUAGAUGGGCAAAAAAUGUUAGAAAUUUGAAUGAGUCAUUGAAAACAACAUUGGUAUGUCAUUGCAAACAACAAUAGUACGUCUUUUGAAUAUUAUAUCUAUGCUAGAUUUCUCUUAUUUAUUCAAAGGACAUUAAACUUUUCUUACUUGUUAUCAAAAUGAUAUAUUGGUGCAUUGUAUGACAUCAUUUAUGCCCUUUUGUAGGUGUUAAAAAUGAAGAAAGGAGAGAAGAUGACAGUGAUGAUGAUCUUGACCUAACUUGAGAAGAUUUUUGAAUUGUUGAUAGAUGUUCUAAUAUUCGUUUUGCUAUCGAACAUUUUGAUACUUUUGAAACUCUUGGAUCUUGUAAAACUUAACUAAUCAGUUGAGUUUGAAAUUUUUAUUUUAGGGUAUAUAUUACUAGUGGAUCCUAGCUAGGUUGUAGAAUAUUAUAAAUUAUCAUAUAUGUAAAUAUUGUUUUACAACUACAUGGAAUUGCUAUUUUGUUUGGACCAUUAUAAUAUGUUACUAGAACAGUUGCAGUAGGUAAAGAGAACUGUUGCAAUAGGUAACAUAAGUGUUGCAAUAAGCCAUAUAAACGUUGCAAUAGGUCACUUAAAUCAUUAACUUAUUAAUAGAAAAAUAAUUGUUGCAAUAAAGGUCUAUGACGACGGUUAGGAACCGCUGCAUAAACCAGAUACCUCCGUUGCACCACAGAAAUUAAUAACCGUUGCUACAGGGGAAUGCUAUGGCGACGACCAUUGUGAACCGUCACAUGAAUCGUUGCAUAAACCCUAUGGCCACGCAAGCUGAUGUAACGCAUUAUAAACCGUUGGGAUAGCUCUAUGACAAUGGUUUACAUACCUAUUGCAACGGUUUUCUUUAUGUUGCAAUAGGCCUAUUUUGUUGUAGUGCCCCUCAAUUUGCCUCUUUCAUGACAUAACCCUAGGCUAUAUCAAUUUCACCUUGGAACCUUAGGUUAAUCAUUAAUACAAAAAAAAUCAUAUUUAGAUCAUGUAAUUACAUCCUAAUCCACUCACAUCAAUUCAAUUGAUCACAACAAGACCCAUUUACAUGUUUCUAGAAUGAAUUACCCAUACUGGGUCACAAUUUUGCAAUAUAGGGGAUCCAUGGGUUCUUGGGGGAAUGUUUCCAAAACUCAUCCAUAAAUCAUCAAUUAAAUCACCCCUCAACCCUAUCUAACCAUAAAAAUCGCUUUUGGAAGAAACCCACAUCAUUCGACCAAACCCUUGAAAUUGGGGGAAAUUUAGAAGUUUUGAAGGAGCUCUUUGGGGGGGAUCUACCCAAAGAUGAAAACUACCAUACCUUGCUUAUGAAUCCUUGAAGAAUUGAUGAAAACCACUUGAUUUUGUCCAGCCCAAGCUUCAAUUUUUCUCUUCUUCUUCUUGGGUUUCUAGAGAGAGAAUUUUUGGGAGGAAGAUGAACUUUUUGAUUUGAAGUGGGUCUUUUUGAAAGUGAUUUAUUUUUGGGAUCUUUUAAUAUGAAAUCCCUUAUAUUCAUUUAGAAAUAAUAUAAAAUAUAUCCACUUUCUAAUUUAACUUAAAAAUAAUAUUUACGAAAACUCCCUUGCACAUAUGGACUUAGCCAUAAAAACUAAGGAAAUGUUUAAGGAAGCAUGUAAGGUCCUUGAAGUGGUCCACUAGCCUUGGACCCUCCCUUGGACUUUGCCUUUGGUUUUUUAAAGCUAAUACAUAUUCAUGGGAGUAUUCAAAUGGCAUAUUUAUACCAUAUAUAUAUAUAUAUAUUUAUUUAAAAAUAAUAUAGACUAUACCCAUUUAAUUUGGACUAAAAAAGAAAUUAAGAAAUUACCCCUUUUUAUGCCUCCCUUCGAUUGCCCAAAUAAAACUAAGGCAAUUACCAAGGGAGCUUUUAAGGCCCUUGAAUUGAUGUACCUUCCUUAAACCCUCCCUUAGACUUGCCUUUAGCUUUUUUAAAGCUAAGGCAUAAGUCUACAAGGGAGUACACGACAGUGGGCCUCCAUUUGCACACGUGCACUGCCCAUGUGUUAAGGCAGCCCCCACACGUGGUGGUCCCCCCACUUGUUCCUUAAACCCUCACAUGGGUUGCCUUAAAAAAAAACUAAGGCAUUGGUUCAAGGAAGCUUCUAAGGGUGGUGAAGGAUUUUACCUUCCUUGAAUCCUCUCUUGAAAAUAUACUUAGUCAAAAUUGGCUAAGGCAUUGGUUCAAGGAAGCUUCUAAGGAAGGUGAAUCCUUUCGCCUUCCUUGAAUGCUUCCUUAAACUUAGACUUAGCCAAAUUUUUGGACCCUUUUAUAUCUCCAAUUUAUACAUAAACUUAUAAGGUUCAUACGUUAGGCUCUAGUUUCACCUAUCAAUUUUCCGGGUGUUACACCUAUGCACAUCACAACCAAUUCCUUCUUCUCAUCUUCUACAUGAGCAACACUACCCAUAGACAAUUUACUCAAGGCAUCCGCAACCAUAUUAACUUUUCCGGGGUGGUAUAGGACACUCAUGUCGUAAUCCUUCAAAAGUUCCAACCACCUUCUUUGUUGGAGAUUCAAAUCUUUUUGGCUAAACACAUAUUGAAGACUCUUGUGGUCGGUAAACACAUCUACAUGUACCCCAUAGAGAUAGUGUCUCCAUAUUUUCAAGGCAAAAACCACCUCCACUAGUUCUAGGUCAUGGGUCAGGUAAUUCUUUUCAUGAAUUUUGAGUUGCCUUGAAGCAUAGGCGAUUACCUUACCAUGUUGAAUUAGAACACACCUGAACCCUACUCUCGAAGCUUCACAAUAUACUACAAACCCGUCGGUACCCUCCGGUAAGGUCAACACCGGAGCGGAGGUAAGCCUAUCUUUUAAUUCUUGGAAGCUCUUCUCACAAGCCUCCGACCACUCAAAUUUGGCUUUCUUUUGAGUUAAGGUUGUCAAUGGAAAUGCAAUAGUGGAAAAACUCUCUACAAAUCUCCGGUAAUAUCCGGCCAAACCCAAAAAGCUUUGGAUAUCGUUAGGAGAUAAAGGUCUAGGCCAACUCUUGACCACAUCCCUCUUCUUAGGAUCAAUCUCUAUACCCUUGUCUGACAUAAUAUGACCAAGCAAUGCAACCGACCUUAGCCAAAACUCACACUUACUAAACUUAGCAAAUAAUUGGUGGUCGUUAAGGACUUGCAAUACUAUCCUCAAAUGCUUCAUAUGAUCACCCUCACUCCUUGAAUAGAUCAAAAUAUCGUCAAUAAAGACAAUUACAAACGAAUCAAGAUAUUACCUAAAUACCCUAUUUAUUAGGUCCAUGAAUGUCGUCGGGGUAUUUGUUAGACCAAAAGACAUGACUAGGAAUUCGUAGUGGCCAUAUAUAGUACGAAAGGCCAUCUUAGGAAUGCCUAUCUCUCUCACCCUAAGUUGGUGGUAACCCAACCUUAAGUCAAUCUUUGAAAAGUAACUCGCCCCUUAGAGUUGGUCAAACAAAUCGUCAAUCCUAGGGAGAGGGUACUUAUUCUUUAUAGUGACCUUGUUCAAUUGGCAGUAAUCAAUACACAUCCUAAGGGACCCAUCUUUCUUUUUCACAAAUAAUACCAGAGUACUCCAUGGAGAUACGCUUGGUUGAAUGAAACCCUUGUCUAGCAAAUCUUUGAGGUGUGCCUUCAAUUCCUUUAAUUCGGCCGAAGCCAUCUGGUAAGGGGGAAUUGAUAUGGGUUGAGUAUCCAACAAAAGAUCAAUGCUGAAGUCUAUUUCCUGUUCGGAAGGAAUUCCAGGCAAGUCAUCGGGAAAGACUUCUGAAAACUCCCUCACUACGGAGACCGACUCUAAUGGAGGAGUCUCAAACUCAAUGUCUAUGACCCUAACAAUAUGAUGGGUCAAGAAGAUUGCUUCUAGAAACCCUAACAUACUAACCGUAGGGGUUUCCAUCUUAUUAGACAACACAUACCCUGGGUAAUCCGGACUUGCUAAACGUGAGGAAACCCAUGUGGGUAGCCGGACUUACUAAACGUGAGACCCCACCUUAUUUGCAUGCCCUUUCAGUGCUAAGCAUCUAAUUCCCUUUUGUAAUCAUCUUUAGUCAACACAUAAGCUCACAUUAGCCUUUACUAGACUCUUAUGUAGACAUCUUACCAUAAUAGCUCAUAUGUGUUCAUAAGUGCAUAACAAUCCUUUCACCUUAGAAACACUUAGCAAGUGAGUAAACCUUUCACUUUACAUUACACUAUAAUCAUGAGGACUACCUUUUAAUCAUAUAGCAAUCAUACCAUAACAUACAUACAUACAUACUUCAUAGCUAAUUCAAGUGUAGAGGGUUAAGGAUGAGGGAAACCUAGGUCAUCAACACCACAACAACACAUUAGGUAUAUCAUCAUUACAAUCUAAGUAAUUCACCUUUCAUACUUGAGUUCAAAGAAGAACCAACCUUCAUACCUUCUUGCCCUUCAUGGGACAUUCAUACUUCAAUUACCCAUCAAUUCAUAAUAAAUACAUAAUAUAAGGUAAUUCAUGAAUUAAUAACAUAAUCAACAUCAAUAUAAGCAAUUGACAUAUUCCCUUCAUAGCCUUCAAGGCUUCAUUCAAAGACUCAACCCUAAUUUCAUAGAAAGUAUACAUAACCUAGGGUAGAAUCAUCAUACAAACAUGAAUUACAUAACAUCACAUUCAAUUCAUAGCCUUCAAUCAAUAUCCAACACAANNNNNNNNNNNNNNNNNNNNNNNNNNNNNNNNNNNNNNNNNNNNNNNNNNNNNNNNNNNNNNNNNNNNNNNNNNNNNNNNNNNNNNNNNNNNNNNNNNNNNNNNNNNNNNNNNNNNNNNNNNNNNNNNNNNNNNNNNNNNNNNNNNNNNNNNNNNNNNNNNNNNNNNNNNNNNNNNNNNNNNNNNNNUGAAAUCUACAAUUUGGGGGAUUUUGAAAACCAUCUUUGGAAGGACCUCUUGGGGAAAGGGAUCCCAAGAGUGAAGAGCAACCAAACCUUAGUUAAACCCUAUGAAUCUUGUGUGAAACCUCCCAUCUAUGUGCUCUUGUUAAGCUCCUUCCAAGUUCUUCAAUGGAGUCUUGAGUUGAGAGAGUUUUGAGAGAGAGAAUUUUGGGAGGGAAAAGAAUUGGGUUAGAUUUGGGUCUUUAAAUUAUAAUGGGUUAAUGACUUAGUUUAGGGUCUUAUUAACUAUUUAUAGGAGGUUAUUUAACCACUUAACCGACCCCCUAAGCCCUUAAUUAAUCAACUAACUUAAUUCUCAAAACCCCAACUUAAAGCUAAAAGUCACAAAACUGGCAGCAUCUACAGACCCCAACCUACGGACCGUCGUUUGAUCUACCAUCCAUAGUUUGGGUCCGUCGAUUGGACCUGGGACUGACAGUGCUUCAUUAUUUUGACCAUAACUUUUUACUUCGAGAUCGGAAUUGGGAAAACUCGGUGGAUUUGGAAAGAGGACUCAGAGACCUUCCAUUGGAUAGGUAGUGGACCACCUAAUUCGUUUUGAGUUAUUAGAUAUGACCAUUUAAAGUUGACUCUCACUCCUAACUUAAAACUAAAAACUAUUUUUAAGGGACUGUUUUAAGGGUCUUGGUUCUAAAUGAAUUCAUUACUUAGCUUAAGAUAUUGCUAGCUUAUAAACGUACUAAUCAACUAGCUAAAAAACCCCUUAAGCCUAUCAAUUAACUAACUUAAUCCCUAAUCACCAACUUAAGACUAGAAGGCUGGAAAUUGGAAGCACUUACGGCCACCCACCUACAGACCGUAGGUGGGGUUACCGCCCGUGCUGUGUCGUCGUUUGGUUCAGAGGCUCCCUUUUUGGGAGCCAAGCCUCCCAAGACUAAGUCCCCACCUACGACCUAGACCUACGGUCCGUAGAUCAGUCUACUGGCCAUAGAUGGGUCUCAUAGGUCCUGCUAUCUUUUUACAGUUGACAGCUUUUGGCGAAAGGUUGGGUCCUCCUCAAGGACCCCUUGGGUGGUCCUUGGGGGGUCGUACCCAUUUGUUUGGACCCUAAACAUGUCCAUCUAUGAAUAAGACUUAUUCCUAUGGGUUUUAGACCUCAAACAACACACCAAACACCACGACAAGACACUAGCACCCACACUAGCACCAAAGACUAGUUUCCGGACGUCAUCGUCAUUUCUUGACGUUUGACCUCUAAAGUCACCAAACUAACUUCAAUGACCAUUUUUCAUCAUUUAAACAUGUUUCCAACCAUAAGCUAACAUGUGAGGCUCUAGGUCAACCUACUAGAUUCAGUGAAGCCUUAGCUAGGUCUUACUAGUUUCGUACUGGGCGUUACAAUAUCCCCUCCUUGGGAACAUUCGUCCCCGAAUGACACUCAAACAUCUUAAGGAGUCAAAACUCAAACUAGCAGCCCAACAAUCAUGUAAUCAUCAAAGUCAUGUACAACUCAAAAAUACACCACACACAACGAGCAUCAUUCAAAGGAGGAACUUGAACUCCAAUUUUAACAUAGUCAAUGCAAAUAUAAGGANNNNNNNNNNNNNNNNNNNNNNNNNNNNNNNNNNNNNNNNNNNNNNNNNNNNNNNNNNNNNNNNNNNNNNNNNNNNNNNNNNNNNNNNNNNNNNNNNNNNCGUUUGACCUCUAAAGUCACCAAACUAACUUCAAUAGUCAUUUUUCAUAAUUUAAACAUGGUUCCAACCAUAAACUAACAUGUGAGGCUCUAGGUCAACCUACUAGAUUCAGUCAAGCCUUAGCUAGGUCUUACUAGUUUCGUACUUCUCCACAAUUGUAACACACGUAAUAACUUAACCAAGUAGGCAUCCCUGCUAUUGUAGUAAUCGUAUCAUGACCCUCUUUGAUAUACACUUAAUCUAUGAAAUUAUAUUAGAGAUUCUACACUCAAUUGGAUCAACGUAAUUUCAUCAUUCUCUAAGUAACCCAUACAAUUUUUGACAACUUUACUAACUAUAUUUUCCAAAGUAAUGGUGUUCAUGAUCUAGCCGACUCUUACGAAAUUUCUUGAAUGUUGUCACCUUGGAAAAGUCAUCUGGCUUCACCCCCUUUACCUCCAUCGCAAAAUCAAACACUUCCCAAAAAUAUUUUGCUAAAGCAACAACCUAUAAAGAUUGAAUAUGCAAAUCUAACCUCAAUCCCUUCACAAAGCAGUGAAUCCGCUCUUCAGGACUAAAGCAAAUAUGAGUAGUAUAUCUGGAUAAAGAACGAAAUAUGACCUCAUUAGCUGUAACAGAUAUCUCCCAUUGAUGUAUAUUUAGGAACUCAUCUCUGUUGCUAUCCCUCAAUAUCUUGGGUAUAUACUUCUCCAUAGAAGCUAAAAAAUGUUGACCAAGUUAUAGGUAGUGCCUUUAAUGGUCAGCAUUCAACAUGAGACUGCCACCACUUAUUAGCGUCUCCCAGAAAUUGGUGUGUCACAACUUAACCCAAACCUCUCCACUAUAUUCAUCUUAUGAAGCUACUAAUGACAAUCAAGAAGAAAAUCAUAAAGAUCUUCAUAUUCAGUACCUAUAAAGAAUUGGGGUUUCAAAUUUAAGAACUUAAUAAAAAGAUCAUGUUGGUCUCUGGUUAUUACAUGCCAUGUGGUCAAUAGGGAAACAUGUCUAUUUCCAAAGACGCAUCCUCUCUUAUCAGUGUUGGUGUUGCCAUUUCUGUUGCUUUAGUUCUGACCAUAUGAGGAAUAGAGUCAAUGAGGUUAGAUACCAAUUUUCAUCACCUAGAUACCAAUUGAAUUAAGGUAAUCGCACGGAAGAAGGAAAUAAUAGAAUUUUCCUAAAAUCCUAUAGCCUCUAGAAGAAAAGUAAAGGUGUCCCCAUACUGUUCAAAAGACUCUACUAAACAUGUCCUUGUGUGAUGAGAUCAUCAAACCUAAUGCGAUACCAAGUUUGUCACAAUCUAAAACGAGUCAUGAGUGACACCUACACUUAACCUCCUAGGUGGGAAAAUCGAGGAAUUCAACCACAACUUAUAUUUAUUGUUCAACUUACAAAAUACAAACCAUAAUACGGAAGCUCAAAUCUUAUUAAUGUAAGAAACACAAAUCCACUAAAGUCUAUCAACUAUCGUUUCUCAAAACCUGAAAGUCAUCACAUCAAGGACAUCUAAUCCCCAAAUACUAAGUCUACGAGUAUCAAAGACACCAAAAUAAAUAAAGACAAUUUGUGUUCGAAAACUAAGGACAUCAUGCCAUGAUUGACAGAAUCCAAUACGAGCUAGAUAGAAUAACUCACCCUAGAACAUGAUGUGCUUGAGACUAGCUAGAGCUGAGGGUGAAUCGAAGUUGUUGGUACACUUGCUACUCUCCACGAAAGGAAAAUGAAGAAAAAUACAAGUAGGGGUCAGUACGAGGAAAUAAUAAUGAGUAGAUAUCAUCGGCUGACCCAAAAUAGAAACUAAUAUGCAUAAAGUAAUAACAUGAAAUCAAUUAUAGCACUUGGCUAGUGGCAAACAACCAACAACAGGAAAAAAUGACAACAGGAGUGAAGCAAGUAUGUAAUUUGUCAACAAUAUAAAAAAUACACGUGAACACAGGCCUCCAUACCACGCUCUUUUGAGAAAUGGGUUCUUCAAGAUUGAGUACAUUAAGUUAUUUUAAUAUGUUUUUCUUUAAUUUUAUUAUGUUGAAACGUGUCACCCGAUCCAAUAAUAUCGUGUCGGCUCAUGACACCCAAUUCAAAUAUAUCGUGCCGGCUCGUGUCACCCGAUCCAAAUUAUCAUUCGGGAAUGUGACACUCGAUCAAAUUAUACCGGGUCAAAAUGGACACUGGAUCCAAAUAUAUCAUCCUAGCUCGUGGCACGUGAUUCAAAUAUAUCAUGCCAGAACGUGACACCCGAUUCGAUAGUAUCAUGUCGGCUCGUGGCACCCAAUCCAACAACAUAGUUAAUUUCUCAUUCUUUAUCAUCACUUUCCAAUUCAUUAAAAAUAUUUCAUCAAGUCUUGUUUAUUCAAAGCAUCACUUUAAUAGAACAAGUUCAAGCUUAUGAAUUUUGUGGUCUUGGGAUUACAAACCAAUCACAACAACACAUGAAUUAUUCAAACCACAACAAACAAGUACGUAGAAAAUUUCACAAUAACACAGAAUGACUAUUAAUUGCUAUUGAGAGUCUCUCUAUCACAUGGAAUAAACCAUAACCUACCUCCACCGAAAAACUGAAGUCGAGCAAGUUAAUUCCCCAAUGCUUUUUCCUUCCUCAAUGCCUCAGAACAUUUUCAAUCUAUCAAGUAUACUAUAGUCAUAAGUUAAUGAGUCUAUAGAUACCCAUAUUAUAAUAUGUCUAGCCUACACCAAAAAACUCACCCAAAUCUACAAUCAAGUUUCAACCGUGAUCUCAAUUAAUAGGUCAAAGACCUAUAUUUCUUAAAUUCAAGCCUAGAGUUAAGUCUUAAUUCCUUCAAAUAAUUUAACUCUAAUAAAAUUCAUAUAAAAUAGUUAUGUACUAAAAAGUGACAAUCCCUACUAACUUAUUUUAAUAAUAUGGGCUAAGUGAUAUAAGAUAUUAAAUAAAUUAUAGACAUGACUCAGUAACCACCAACUAAAUGAUCAUAGUUAGAUAGAUAGUUAAAAAAAUCUCAUUUAAAAUUUACGGAAAAAGUCGAAAUAGUUCUAGUAUUAGUACAACAACAUAACAAUGAAUGUUUUCACAAUGAUAUCAAUACUUGAGUUUUUAAAUUAAGUUAAUUUAUUACCUGGUUAUGGCUGACAUAAUACUGAUAAAAAAAUACUAUAAAAAAUCAAGAUAGGAGUGACCAAUGACAAUAUUAUAAUUUUAACAUUAUUUAAGGGUAAAGUUGUAAUUUUAUAAUUAGUGGUCAAAAGAAAUUUCUAGAAGAAUCCAAUUUUUUUAAGACCAACAAAAAUCUUUGUUCCAUGUGUGGCCCCACAAACUCAUUGUUUUUGUUUGAAAUCAGUUUGUAUUUGUUUGAUUAUGAUAAUAUUUUGAAAAAUAUUCAUACCAUUCAUACUUUAAAAAUGUAAUCCUCCAUCAAAUUUAAACAAUAUAAAUCCCCCCCCCCCCCCCCCCCCCCCCCCCCCUCCCCCCCCUUUUUUUNNNNNNNNNNNNNNNNNNNNNNNNNNNNNNNNNNNNNNNNNNNNNNNNNNNNNNNNNNNNNNNNNNNNNNNNNNNNNNNNNNNNNNNNNNNNNNNNNNNNNNNNNNNNNNNNNNNNNNNNNNNNNNNNNNNNNNNNNNNNNNNNNNNNNNNNNNNNNNNNNNNNNNNNNNNNNNNNNNNNNNNNNNNNNNNNNNNNNNNNNNNNNNNNNNNNNNNNNNNNNNNNNNNNNNNNNNNNNAAAAUUAAAAAAAGAAAACCCCCCCCCCCCCCCUCCCCCCAUCGUAUUCAAUGUAUUUUUUUACUCUUGACAAAUGAAAUUGUUCAUCUAUGCAUUACUACUACAGUAUAUUCAAUAUAAACCUACAACAUAUAAUAUUUUUUUAACAUAAGUAUUACUUAAAUUAUAUUUAACUUUUCUUAAUAUAAGUAUAAUAAUCCUUUUUAUGAAUUUGCCACAUAAUUUUAUAUUAUUUUAUAUAAUUUAGAUUUUAAUAUUGCAUGCAUUAAUAUGUGUGUAUGUAUAUUUGGAUUUAUGUCUAACUUCUUUAUAUUUUAAAAAUAUAAAAAUCUAAUCCUAAGAGAACUUAAUGAAAUGGAGUCAAAUGGUAUACUUCCAGCAGAUUAUUGAAGUCAACAUACAUAAUCUUAUAUUCUCAACAAAUGGAUACGAAAUAAAGCACUAGAAGGCAUGGAUUAGUCUUUACUUAGGACAUAAUAUCAUAUUGAAACACAUAAUCUAGAGGUAGAAUACGAGUGCACAUUUUAAUUAAGAUAAGAAGCAGAUCAAUAGCAAAAUAACUAAUCUUCAUACAAGCCAUAUGACUUACUACAGUAAGAGAAGAAACCAUGCUUGCAGGAAGAAAAAAAAAGAGCAGUAACUAAUCACAGACAAAGAAUUCAAGUUUGGGACGACAAAAGACAACCAAAAGCUCUUUCACAUCUUAAAACCAAAAUAGUAGCUAGAUACUAGACAAUACAGAGAAAAUCUGCUUUUGAUCUAAUGGAUCCUAAUAUAUAACUAAUGCACAAUAAAAGGUACCUAAACAGCCAAACCCGGAGAUAUACCUAACAUGAAAUUAAAACAGAGAUGCGCACAUCAAGGAGUUGGAACUCAAACAGAUAAACCUUUGAAACAAUGAUCACGACCUAUCACGAACAUGACAAGAAACGGAAAAGCGAACAAGAAUAGAUGCUAAACAUUUAGGAAGUCUAACAUAAAAGAAAACCAUAAACAAAGGGGAAGAAUGGAGGUAUUACCUUCUUAGGAUCAGCUUUUGGAACGAACGAGUUGAGACGAGUUUUCGCCACCACCAACGAGUUCAAACGAAAGCUUUCGAUGGAAAAGAACAGAAAGCGAAAACCAGACCCUAAGACUCGAAAUUCUUAAAUUAUAACUAUAGAAAUGGAAUCUCUUUUGAUGAAUAUACUACUGUGUUUCUUUCUUCUCGUCUCCCAAUUUCCAACCUCUAUUUUGUCAACCCCUAACACUGAAAUUAACGAGGGAUAUAUGUAGAGGGCAAUAGGGUAGAUAACGGGGAAAUUUCUAUUAAGGAAAGGAUGAUUUCAAAAUUUGAAAUUAAAAUUUUAUUUAAGAGAUAGGGUCGGCCAGCUCGAUUGGGUACAAAAUCUCCAACGGAUUGAAGAGGAGGUCCGUUCGAUCUUCACAGAAGGACAAUCUCGCAAGGAGAUGCCUCCACCUUCACGAUUCUUGAAGUUUCUUCUACGAAUGAAUAAGGAAUAAAGGAAAAUGGACAAGCGAUUUGGAGGCUCGCUAGGCUGACUCGCGAUUUGGGUCGCGUUUUCAGGGUGUCUGCUCGUUGGUGGCUUUGUUCACUAGAUUUGCAGCGUUUGGUCGCUAUUCUUG
rnacentral:lncRNA from 1 species